rnacentral:lncRNA from 1 species
UUAUCUGGAUGGCAUCUGCUCUUCAUGCAGCUGUUAAUUUAGGGAAGUAUCCAAAUGGAGACUAUGCACCAAAUCGCCCUGGUAUGAGCCGAAGGCUUAUUCCUGAGCCUGGGACCCCUGAGUAUGAGGAGCUGAAGGUGAACCCUGUAAAAGGAUAUCUGAAGACAAUAACACCCCAGUUCCAGACUCUUAUUGGAAUAUCUGCUCUCGAGGUUUUGUCAACACAUACUUCAGAUGAAAUUUAUCUUGGUCAGAGGGAUUCUGAUGAAUGGACUAAGGACAAAGAAGCUCUGCAAGCUUUUGAAAGGUUUGGAAAGAAGCUGGCUCAAAUUGAGGAAAAUAUUACAAAGAUGAACAAUUAUAAGAAGUGGAAGAACAGGACAGGCCCUGUUAAGAUGCCAUACACAUUGCUUUAUCCGACAAGCGAACCAGGACUUACUGCCAAAGGAAUUCCCAAUAGUAUCUCUAUUUAAGUUACUUGCUAAAAUGAUCCAGUGAUAUCAUCACUGGAUUUGUGACAGGCCUCUGAGCUAAAGAGCGUCUGUCUAUCUAUUUCCUAGCUUUGUAAUGUUAAACCAGCUUCUAUUUUGUUUAUAUAAUUAUAAUAUGAGAUAUUAUCUCUCUUAUUAGUUACAUCUGUGGCUUAUCUGUUUACUUGUUCUCCUUGUGAACUUGAAUGUAGCACCAACUCUUAACUUCAAUUGCAAAUUAAGGAUGAUAUAAAGACUCUCAUUUGCCAUAAAUUGAAACAUUUCUAGGUGUUAAAUUAAAAACAGGAAGGACAUGCUAACUUAUAGAUGACACAAGUUCUUAACUAUUUCAUAGAAAUUGUUUGGAAUGCCCCUUUAAUUGGAACUAAUUCCUUACCCUGUUUGGAUGCCCCUUUAAUUGGAACUAAUUCCUUACCCUGCAACCUAUUCUCAUUGCUUGAAAUAGAAAGACCUUAAAAGGUGUAUGUAUAGUUAAGUUGCAUAAAUUUAUUGAACGAUAAGUAAAGAAAACAUUCAUGACUGAAAAACUAUUGCUACUUGUAUGAGUACUAUUUACCGUUCAAUUCUAGUAUCACCUUGUUCUUGUUUAGAGUCUCAAUUUUAUUUUCUGUACUUAGUGGAAAGUAUCUAAGAUAAGCAAGAGGAGCUAACAAGAAAGGAAUCAAGAAGAUUUUACUAAAAUGUUAUUUAAUUAACAAUGGUAAAGUGAAAGCACUUGAUUGUUUAUCCAAGUCAGAGAUGCGUAAUUCUCUAAUAAUAAAUCGUAUCCUAUGAGUGAUUUUGUUGUUGGUAAUUUCUCUCCGAUGAACGUUUCUGAUGGUUUCAAGGUCAAGGACAAAGAAGUAGCUAGGGUUUGAUGUUUUUGAUGUUGUUGUCUGAAAGUGUACACAUACACACUUAUGUCAUUGGGUCUCAUUAUUGGACUGAGUUGGGAGGAGCUAUUGGGCCUAAUUUCUUGGGUCGUUUUUCCUUGUGAGUGUUUGAGAUUUAUUUUGUGUAGAGCAUUGUUGAGCCCAGUACUAGAAGAUUCUUUACAGCUGUUUAUACAUUGUAAAUAAUUAUUUCAUGUAUUUAUCCGUUAGGUGGUUAGACUUGAGCAAUAGAAUAAUGCCACUUGGCGACAGUUCUGCAUCUGAAAAAAUUCGAAGUGAUUCCGAUUUGCCUUUGAUGUCGGAUCUUUGCAACAAAUUACCCUAUCUCCACACUCACUUCUAAUAUUAGUUCAAAUAUAUGUAGCAAGCUAUAAUAUGGUUAACAGUGCCCUAAUCGCAACAGUGCUUCCUAUGGCCGAGCCUCUUCCAUCUCUUCUUCUUUCUAAUUUUUCACCACACCCAUCAAGAGCCAAGCUCCGCGCGUCCAAACCCCAGUAAAUUUCUCCGGCAACUGUGCUCUCACGCGCCGCCAACACGCCUGUCUUUCCGGCGAGAUUUCAGCCACGCGCCGGCGCGUGUGGCCUUUUCCGGCGACUUUUCAAAUUUUUUUCUUCAGACAGCCUCUUCUCGAGGCAUUUCCGAGCCAUCCCGUGCCAGUUUCACCAAAUUCCGACGACUUUAUUUUUCCGGCCUUUAAACCCCAGUUUCUGACGAUUGUUUCCUUUGUUCAGUACGAGAAAACCUUCCUCCCUUCAUAUAUACUGUUUUCACCCACUGUGAAUACUGUUAUCCCGACUAUUGAGGCUUUUUCCGGCUAGUUUUUUCGGGACAGCCGCAUUUAGAAUAUGAUGGAUUGUACAGAGAGAAGCUCUUUUUUCUCUCUAGAAUCUAGAAAACUGGAAAACAUGUCUUUUAUGAAAGCUGUCUCUUGGCCAGCCCUAGAACUUGGGGGAAGAUGCCAUCGAAAGCUCGACGUAGGACAAGAGCCGCACUUCACGCUGUCCGAGGAGCACACUCUCAGGCGCAAGGGUUUCUUGGAAUCUAGUCUCGUUGGGUCUUUCUCCAAAUGGGUUGGUUCUCCGGAGGCUGUUAGGAACUGGGCAGCAGAGGCAUGAAACGUCAAGGACGGGCUGAAAAUAUCGCAAUUGGGGGACACUCAAUAUCUCUUUCGUUUUGUUGACAAGUCNNNNNNNNNNNNNNNNNNNNNNNNNAUUCAAGAAGAUAGGGAAAUCUAUGGGGUUUUUAUUGAUGUCAUUUGCAGUUUACACGAUCUCUCGUGAGUGAGGAUUGUGGCGAGGAAAGGGGGCAGAAUCCCUGUCUCCACUGUGGUGGAAGAUGGCUACUUGAGUUAUAGGGUUUGGUUAAGCCCUGAAUUUCGCCCCAUCUUUAUGCCUGUGAUAGCGACGGAAGAAAAGGGAAGGUCAGAUAGGGGGGGGGGGGGGGAUCAGUCUCUGAGGGGAGGGGAGGGUUCGCCGGAUCACUGGAUUAAGCCGGAAUCAAACGUUAGAUCGAGAAGAGACGGGAGGUUUGAAAUUGGAGGAGGAAUACAAAAUUUUAACAGGAGAAGAAGACGUGAAUGGGUCAGUGAGGCGGGCUGGAAAGGCUGAAUGGGACGGUCCUUUUCUACUUAUCACAGGGCCGGGCAUAUUUUCAGCAAGUAUAGGCCUGGGCCUCCUCACAUGGGCCCAGCAACUUUUCCCAAUUCCAUUAGAAUUGACCCUAAGGGGCCCAGUUUAUUUCAAGCUACGCAUGAUAAGGCUCCUAAGCAUAUGGGAACAGUCGUUCCUUCUUCCUCUGGACAAGGUGCUUCACACAGUGGCACUCCUUCACCGAGCUCUAGUGACAUGUGCCCCUCUACGAUGGCCGCUGCUGCAGGGGCAGAACCGGCUAAGGAUGGUGCUGUUAAUCCACGGCCCCCGACUCUGAUGGACCCGGUUCCAUCAAUCCCUCACCUGCUCCUGGGCUUAGUUGUGCUGAGACCACACUUAAAGCUUCUUCUUCUUCUAGGGAGAUUGUUGAGCAUGCCCCAAUUGAUAUUAGUGUCGGACCAGUAUUUUCAGUUAAUAUGCUGCCAAGGGUUCCGUGCUCUCUUCCGCCAUGCUACCCUACUUAUGGUUCUGGACAUUCCUAUAGCAACGGGGUGUUAAUUUUAGAGGUUGCUAACCCCCAAGGAAACGGUGAGACCCUUUCGGAGGUUAAAACUCCUAGUGCUAGAAAUGCUAUGGUCUUGUAUUCCUCUGGUAGUAGCAAGGAAAGGGCAUAUAUAGAAGAAGCCUGCCCAAUUUCGUCAAAGAUCGGAGGAGGGGAUAUGUCUUUUUGGAUGGAGGAUAAACUAUUAAACUUNNNNNNNNNNNNNNNNNNNNNNCAAUCUCUUUACGAUGGUGCAGGGAGGGAGUUGGGUAAAGGUGUUAAGCAAAAUAACUUAGGGGAUGUAGUGGUGUAUCAGAGAAGGGGGCGAGUGUGUGACAAAGAGAAAUGGACCUCGGCUAAGGGGGGUGGGGAAAUGGGGGCUAUUGUUGCUUUUGGAAGUUAAGAUCCUUUCAUGGAAUGUGAGGGGGAUGAAUGACCCAAACAAAAGGGCCAUCAUCAAAGUGGGAGUUAGGGAGUGGGGUGCCAACCUAGUUUGUUUUCAGGAGACCAAAAUGGAAGUUUUGUCGGAUGCGAUCAUGAGAAGUGUCUGGGGAGGUAGCUAGGUGAAAUAUGACUGGGUCCCAGCAGUGGGAAGUGUCGGGGGCAUCCUACUUAUGUGGGAUGAUAGAAGCUUGGAGGUAAAUGAGAUUAGGAAGGGAGUUUUCUCUUUGGCAGCUCUCGUCAAAGAUAGAGUGAGUGGGUGGAGUGGGGAUUUGGGGGAGUGUAUGGGCCGGUAGGGGAAGGGUCCAAGGUGUCUUUCUAGAAGGAACUGGCCAAUAUUAUGGGGGAAUGGGACAUUCCAUGGGUUCUAGGGGGAGACUUUAACACUAUUAGAUUCCCGGAGGAGAGAUUAGGGGGUAGUGUGAUUUCGAGGGCCAUGGAGGAGUUUUAUGACUUCAUCAAUGAUAACUUUCUCAUUGACCUUCCUCUGUCAGGGGAAAGGUUUACUUGGGCCAGGGCGGAGGAUUCCAACUCAAGGUCUAGAAUUGAUAGAUUCCUGACAUCUCCCGCAUGGGAUGAGCUGGUGCCGAAUGUGCUGCAGAUUCCUUUACCUAGGUUGACUUCAGAUCAUUUGCCUAUUUUGCUAGAUGGAUGCAUAGGGUGGGGGUGCGUGUUCCCUUCCGAUUCGAAAACAUAUGGUUGAAAGUGCCAGGAUUCUGUGACAAGGUGAAAGAAUGGUGGACAAGCUAUGGGGUAUCAGGGACACCUUCAUACCGUCUUUCGAAGAAACUCAAAUUGCUCAAGGGAGAUAUUAUUAGGUGGAAUAAGGAGGUUUUUGGGAGGAUAGAGGUUAAAAUGAGGGAGCUUAUGCAUGAAUUGGGGGAUUUAGAAAAAGGGGAAGGGGCGGGGGAGUUAGACGAAUCUGAGAAAGAGAGAUUGGGGAAGGUUAAGAGGGAAAUAGUCGAGUUAGCAAUAGCGGCAAAAAUCGAGGGCGCUCUGGCUAAAGGAGGGGGAUUCGAAUACCAAGUAUUUCCAUAGGAUGGCGGUCGCAAAUCGAAGGAGAAACUUCAUAGAGUCCUUAGUUGUGGAUGGGGUGAGGAUUGAGGGAGAGGAGGAGGUAAAAGGGGCGACAACGGGGUUUUAUGAGAACUUAUAUAAAGAGGAAGUUCAACCAUAUAGGGGAGGGAGACAGCGAGAGGCUAGAAAAGGGUUUUCGAGGAGGAGGAGGUGCACGAGGCUGUGUCGUGUUGUGCUGGUGAUAAGGCCCCCGGGCCUGAUGGUUUCUCCUUGACUUUCUUUCAGCUCUUUUGGGAUACCAUCAAGGGGGAGUUGAUGGAAGCCAUUGAAUACUUCCAUGCGAAUGGUGUUUUCGAGAGAAGUAUCAAUGCUUCCUUUAUUACUAUUGUGCCUAAGAAAGAAGGUGCAUCUUGUAUCAGAGACUACAGGCCUAUUAGUCUAGUGGGGAGCAUUUACAAGAUUAUUUCUAAAGUGCUUUCCAACAGACUUAAGAAGGUUCUUGACAUGACUGUUUCGUCCUCCCAGAAUGCNNNNNNNNNNNNNNNNNNNNNNNNNCGCAAGGAGCAUGAAGGGGGGGGGGGGGGUAGUAUGGGACCUCUCAUUCAGGAGGAACAUGCAAGAUUGGGAGAUUGCAGAUCUUCAAGUCUUGUUGGCACUGCUAUACGGGCAAGACAUACUCCAGCCGUCCUGCGACUCUUGGAGAUGGGGCUUGCGUGGCGAUGGUUUGUUCACCGUAAAGUCCUUUUACCAGAGUAUGUUGGUGAGAGAGGAGAUCACUUUUCCAUACUCCUCGAUCUGGAUUCCUAGGGCGCCCACGAAGGUGUGCUUUUUUGCAUGGCUAGCGGCAAGGGGAGUGAUAUUGACUGCUGAAAAUCUCCGAAAGAGGGGAAUUACACUUGUUAGUUGGUGCUACAUGUGUAAAAGCUCUGGGGAAGAGGUUGAUCACCUUAUGUUGCAUUGCCCUGUGUCCUCUGCAUUGUGGAGGUCAAUCCUGAAUCUUUUUGGUGUUCAAUGGGUGAUGCCAAGCACUGUAAAGGAAUUGUUAUAUAGCUGGGGCGAUUUUCGUAGAAGAAGAAAGCAAAAGGCGUGGAAAUUUGCCCUGUUAGCUCUCAUGUGGGUAGUAUGAGGGGAGAGAAAUAGGAGAGCUUUUGAGGAGAUUGAGUCUCCUUUUUCACAUCUUAAGAAUAGUCUUUUAUCUUUGAUCGCUUUUUGGUGCACUCAUUUAGCCUCUACUUGUAUAGAAGAUUGGGCGUCUUUUGUAGAGAAUCAUGUUCUGAUAUAAAUUCUCUACGUCUUUGGUAUACUUUGUAUACACGGGAGUUCUCUCCCUUUUGAUUAAUAUAAUUUACCUUAUCAAAAAAAAUAAUUCCACUUGGCUCAAGUCAGUUAUAGGCUAGAUUCCUUUUUCCUUUAUAAAUUCAUGCUCUUGUACAGUGUCCAACACAUGAAAUAUUGAAGAAAGAUUUUCUGGAAUUCAGUAUUCCUUCAUGGUAUCAGAGCUUAAUUCCGAGGUUAAAAUCAUUAGAUCAGACAAUGCUUUUGAAUUAGGAACUGGAAAUAUUCAGUCAGAUUUCCUUUCUUCACAAGGAAUUAUUCAUCAGACCAAUUGUGUGUACACCCCACAACAAAAUGGUAUAGUGGAGAAGAAGCACAAACAUUUAUUAGAAACAUCUAAGGCACUACUGUACCAGUCACAUUUACCUGUUUCUUUUGGGGAGAUUGUUUAUGCAACCUACCUAAUCAACAGAUACCCUUCCAGAGUCUUACAUUUAAAGACCCCUUAUGAGGUCUUGUUUAAGGUCAAGCCUGAUUACUCUAACAUUAGGUGUUUUGGUUGUUUAUGCUUUGCUUCCACUAUUACCAAUCACAUAACAAAACUUGAUCCUAGGGCAGUACCUUGUGUUUUCCUUGGGUAUCCACAUGGCAAGAAAGGUUAUAAAGUGCUUAACCUUAAAGCUCUUAAGACUACCAUUUCUAGAUAUGUUGUGUUCCAUAAGGAAUUCUUUCCCUUUGCUUCUAUAAACUCCCCUACUACAAGUCAUCAUGUUUUGCCCCUUGCUCAACCAAGUCACUCACCUAGUCCAGUUCCUGAUUUUUUUACCUAAAACUUUACCUAUCAGUUCACAUUUCAUUCCUAAUUCUCCAAGUCCUACACCUCAAUCCAUUCCUACUCAUCUGUCUACUCCUAGAUCAUCCCCUAUUCCAUCAUCUUCUAGAUCCCAUAUCUCAGGGACUAAUACUCCUAUUUUCCACCUCUAGAUUCUGAACCUAUGAUGUAUGCUCUCAUUAGAAAAUCUUCAAGGCCUCAUAAUCCACCUUGCUAUCUUAAAGAUUAUACAUGCAAUGCACUCCAGCUCACAGAUGUAAGUAGUUCUUGUUUCCUCACUCCUGUCACACCAGAUUCACUAUCCUUUAGUAGACUUUCCUCUUCAAAUCAACAUAUGCUUAAUUAUCUACCUAAUGUUCAAGAAGCAACUGGUUAUAGUUAGGUUGCACAUCACCCAGGAUGGCAGGAGGCUAUGGCAAGGGAAAUUGAGGCUCUUGAGCUCAACAAAACUUGGGAGGUAGUUGAACUACCCCUGGUAGGAAAGCCUUGCCAUGCAAAUGGAUGUACAAAGUUAAACAACAUUCGGAUGAAAGUGAAGAACAAUUGAAAGCAAGGCUAGUCAUUAUAGAGUACAUACAAAAGGAAGGAGUGGACUUUACUAAAACAUUUUCACCAGUGGUCAAGAUGACCACCAUCAGGUGUAUACUUGCUACAACAGUAAAAAGAGUUUGGGGUUUGUAUCAAUUAGAUGUGGACAAUGCGUUUCUACAUGGAGACUUGCACGAGGAAGUCUAUAUGAAAUUCCCAGUAGGAGUUAUCCCACCAUCUCCUACACAUGUCUGCAAAUUGAAAAAGUCACUUUAUGGACUUCGUCAAACUUCGGGACAAUGGUAUGCUAAGCUCACCAAUGCCCUAAAUUUUAAGGGUUUCACUCACUCGUUAAAUGACUACUCCUUGUUCUUUAAAAGGUCAAAUUCCUCUAUCUCUAUUGUAGUUGUCUAUGUCGAUGAUAUCUUACUAACAUGUAAUGAUACAACAGAAUUACAAGCACUAAAAGAUUUUCUUCAUCAAGAAUUUAGAAUCAAGGAUCUUGGGGACUUACAUUUUUUUUUCUGGGUAUGAAGAUGAUCCGCGGAACACAGGGAUUGAUCCUUUCACAAAGGAAGUUUACCCUUGAUCUCCUCAAGGAAUUUGAUGCAAUGCAACUGGUUUCUGUUUCUUCUCCGCUUGAUCCAACAACUAGACUUCUUGCUAAGACAGGGGAUCCUGUAAAGGACCCUACUUUGUAUCGUCAUUUGCUUGGAAAAUUGAAUUACCUGACACAUACCAGACCAGAUUUAUCUUUCACGGUCCAGCACUUGAGCCAAUACACGCAGGACCCCAGGAAGCCCUAUCUUGAUGCUGCUUAUCGCGUGCUUCGAUAUUUGUUGAAGGAUCCUGGCCUUGGUCUUUUUAUGUCAUCUUCAUCCUCUUUUCAGCUCUUGGCAUUUUGUGAUUCGGUUUGGGCGACUUGUCCAGAUUCGCGCAAAUUAGUUAGUGGCUUUUAUAUAUCGCUUGGAGCUUUGUCAUACCUCAAUUUCUCUUAGUUCUGCUGAGGCCGAAUAUCGCUCAAUGCGACAAGUGAUUGCAAAACUUACUUGGCUGGUCCGUCUCUUUGAGGAUCUUUCUAUUCCCAUAACACUUCCGGUUCCCUUACACUCAGAUAGCUAAGCAGCGAUACAUAUAGCGAAAAACCCCGUGUUUCACGAACGGACAAAACACGUUGAGUUAGACUGCCACUUUGUCUGGCAACAGUUCUUGUCCGGUUUGAUUUCCCUCUCUUUUGUUCGAUCUUCGUCUCAAAUGGCGGAUCUCUUCACAAAAUCGCUCCCACGACCUCAUCAUCAUAAUCUCUCGGGCAAGUUGGGGGUGUUUUCUCCCCCCUCCAACUUGAGGGGGGUGUUGGUGGUAAUUUCUCUCCGAUGAACGUUUCUGAUGGUUUCAAGGUCAAGGACAAAGAAGUAGCUAGGGUUUGAUGUUGUUGUCUGAAAAUGUACACAUACACACUUGUCCGUUGAAUUCAGAAUGGGUCUCGUUAUUGGACUGAGUUGGGAUGAGCUAUUGGGCCUAAUUUCUUGGGCCGUUUUUCCUUGUGAGUGUUUGAGAUUUGUUUUCUGCAGAGCAUUGUUGAGCCCAGUACUAGAAGAUUUUUUACAGCUGUUUAUAUAUUGUAAAUAAUUAUUUCAUGUAUUUAUCCGUUAGGUGGUUAGAUUUAAGCAAUAGAAUAAUGCCACUUGGCUCAAGUUAGUUAUAGGCUAGAUUACUUUUCCCUGUAUAAAUUCAUGCUCUUGUACAGUGACCAACACACGAAAUAUAGAAGAAAGAUUUUCUGAAAUUUAGCAUUCCUUCAGAUUUAUCAUUUUUAAAUAAAUUUCACAAAAGAGUAAACAACAACAACAACAACCCAAUAUAAUCUGAGACUCGAACUCACAACCUCUUAAUUGAAAGUGGAAGGUGCUCACAACUAGAGCAACCGACUCAUAUCAACCUCUGAUUUAACUCCGAUAAAGCUUUUACUUCUUUUUUUUACUGCAUUGAAUAUUUAACUCUUUCUACCUAUUUGCCAACCAAACAAGAGAAGGUAAAGUUUGAAACUCUCUCUUCUUUCCUCCUCCCUUCUUUGUGAGGAAAGGAUUAGACUAUCUUCUCAUAAAUGACCGGUCUAUUACUAAUUAUCAUCCAAAUAUUUAAAUCAUAUAAACUAUACAUGAGCCUAUACUUUUCUCGUUCAGUGAACACCCCACGUUUGUUUAUGUUAUUCCAGAUUACUUAUCUUGAUUAACUUCACAUCCUCAUGAAAAACAGAUCGACAUUUAGCUCUCCGCUGCAGUAAUGGUUGCUUGUUGGGCGUACAUAGCAGUUGCAACUACAUGGGUAGUAUGUGUCAGGCCAAAGAAGAUAUUGCAAACAUGCAGUUAUCUUCAAUGAGUUCCGCGGAUUGAUAAUGAGACCAAUACUCCUUCACAAGUUGCCCGAAGAGCGAACCUUCUUGUUUCAUCAGCUUCAUUGGUUCAUCAUACUCCACUAAUUUCCCUGUAUUCACAACCAAAGUUAAAGUCACUACAGCUAAAACAUUCUGGGAUUAGCAUGUUUGAAAGUCUUAACGUAGUCGUGUGUAAAAGAAAACAAACAAGUCUUACCAUCACUAAUGGCCAUAACCAUUGUACAAUCCAUUACUGUAGGUAUCCUGUGGGCAACUGUAAUUACAGUACUGUUAGAAAAUUCUGUCCUGAUAGUUUUCUGCAAUAUCAUAUCAGUGGCAUUAUCGAUCGAUGCAGUUGCUUCGUCAAGUACCAAAAUCUUGCUUUUCCUCAAAAGAGCACGUCCCAAACAGAACAACUGCCGCUGCCCCAUGCUCCAGUUUGAUCCAUCUUCCACAACUGAAAUAACUCUUCAAUGGUUAACAGAAACCUACUUGGAUAAAAUAAUCAUACCUGCUGCUGGAAAACUUACCCAAUGAGUUAAGCCCCUUUGCUUUUUCUUCAACUGCCUCUUUUAGCUGACAUUUUGCAAGAACCUUUCCAGUGGAGAUGACAUGAAUGAACGCAAUAAAUCAGAAGAUCGCUUUGGUACAAUGCACAUUCUCCGUCUAGUGCAAAAAAAAAAAAGAAGGCCAAAUACAUAUUAAGUUAACUUACGUCCCAUAUUUCCUCAUCAGUACGCUGAUAUAAGGGAUCCAAGUUGUAUCUUACUGUUCCAUUGAAGAGUGUAGGGUCCUGAGGUAUAAUCCCGAAUUGGGACCUUAAAUCAUGAAGACCGAUUUUAGAAAUGUCAAUUUCAUCUACCAAUAUCCUUCCACCUGCUGGUUCCACUAAUCGAAAUAGGGCCCCGAUGAGUGUAGUCUUGCCACUCCCAGUUCGGCCAACAAUACCAAUCUUAUGACCUUCUUCAAAUGUACAAGUGAUCCCCCUUAGAACAAGAGGGGAAUCUUCCCUAUAUCUGAUCUGUUUUGGAGUAUACUUAUCAGCAUCUUGAUCAGUUCUAAAUACAAGAAAAUUAGGGUGGUGAGAAAAAAUUUACCUGCAAAUCUUGAAUUUCAACUUUACCCCUCGUUGGCCAAUUGACUGGUGGACGGUUCUCUUUAACAAUUUCAGGAGCUUCACUUGGAAUGUGCAUAUACUGGUUAAAUCUUUCUACAGAAAUUAUGUAAUUUGCUAGCCUGCACUGGAUUUGAAUGGAAGCAACAAGAGACAUGUUUAAGGAAAGACCAUAGGACAAAGCCAUUCCAAUAAAUCCUGCAAAAGAAUAAUAGCCUGUUAUUAGAAAUCUCCUGUUUAACAUUAGGCAAAAGGUUAAGGAACAAUAAUAUAGAAUUCUUUAUUCGAGUCCCAAGAUUAAUAUUUAUCAUGGCAUACCUGAACUGAAAGUCCCUGGAGGAAGCAAAACCAUGCAAAGUGCCGAGGAUGCAAGAAAAGUUGCACUAAUAGUUUCCAAUCGUUGAAUCAACCACUCAUUUGCUGCAAAAUUGUGGAAAAACGGACUGGCAUUUAUAUCAAUUAGCUCAAAAGUCUUCAUAAAAAAUCUGUCUUCCUCUUUGAAUGCCCUUAUAGUCACAGCUCCGGCAAUAGAUUCAGCAAGAUGGUUAGCCACAAAUGAUUUGGUAGUACCAUUUAUCCGCAUCAACACUUUGGCAGAUGCAUAGUAGUAUUUCUGCCAUGAGUAAGAGAGAGUUUUAAGUCUCAAUUUACCAGUUACUGUUGGCACAAGAAUAGUGUUGCAGAGAAUUAAAGCUUUAAAAUCCUACAACCCUUGCCAGAGAAUCAUAUUUCCGGACUAUUCAGUUUGGAGGCAUAGAGCGUAAAAGAAAUGAAAAGUUAAAAAUUUGUUUAACAGUAACAAAUCCUGUCCUACUUUCAUACAGUGGGCAGAGCCAUGCAACUCAAAUACAGGAUGUUGAGAUAAAUAAAACAGUCAACUCUUACCUGCAACUGAAUGGCAAGAAAAACCAUUGGGAUUGAGAAAACCAGAACUUGCCAAGUGACAGCAGUUAGCACUGUAAGAUUAGCAUAGAAGUUUGUGGUAGAUCCAAAAGCGAAAAUCAAGUUGAAAGGAACAUCAAGAUCAACUAUACUCAAAUCUGAUGAGACCUGCAUACACGGGUUUGGGGUAGUGGAGAGAUAGCAAAAAUGGUUAGGUCCAUAAACAUAGUAUCAAUGUUAUAGCUUGUAUUUCAAUGUUCAUGUUUGAGAUAUUUACCCUGCUAAAUAUCCUUCCCAAAGGUGUAGAGUCAUAAAAUGACAUAGGAGCACGGAAAAGAGAAUUUAAUAGCUGCGAGAACAAGGAAUUUGAUGAUUGCAAACUCAAAAAGACCGUCAAUAGAGAUCGAGAUAGCAAAAACAAUGUUGAUACAACACCAAUUAGCAAGUAAACUACAAUAAGCCUCAAAGUGCUAACUUGGGGAUUAUCAACAUUUGCAGCCAUCCAGGAGUUCUGUGAUAUCUGACCAACCACAUAUGUUAUGAAGGAGAGUACAGCCAUGACAAAGAAGAAGUACCCUUUGUUCUGAUUUAGAUACUGAACAUAAGGCUUAAAUCCAGUAUCUCCGACUUCUCUCUCUUCUUGCUUAAUCAGCUGAUCACCUACAGAGGCUAUAGAAUUUUUGUCAGUAUCAGUUUUUUGAAUUUCUCUUGAACGAGAUUCCCUCCUUGAUGAUGGAUUAACCUCUGCAACUCUUUCUGAACCAGCGGUCUCUUUGUGUGCAUCGACCAAGUCCUGGAAUUCUUUGCUCAAUGCCAAUAACUGAUGAUAUGCAGCUGCAUGUAGAAUUUCUCCAUCUGACAUUAACUGCGAAUAAAUUAACAUAUGUAAGGCCAUUUCUUGUGAAUAUAACCAUUCAAUUUCAAAUAUCAAUGUAAUUUUACAGAGAAUAUAUCAGGGAUUCAAGAGUUCACUUUCUUUUUCUUCUUUAGAAAAACAAGCCAUCAAUAAGAAGUCAUAUUAGAAAGAGAAGUUCAUCAAGAAAAACUAACCAGAACUACAUCAAAAGCAGGAAGAAAAUCAACUUGUUGAGUCACAAGUAAGAUGGUCUUCCCCGAGAGAGCUCUCAUGACAUAAUCCUGCAAAUGACCGGUUCAAAUUUGAGCUUGCACGUCAGAAGAAACGAUAUGAAGCACAAUACUAUUUCUCACAUUGAAUAGACUACUAGCAGUAUGGGCAUCUACAGCACUGAAUGGAUCAUCCAGGAGAUAUAUAUCAGCAUUAUGAUACAGUGCGCGAGCAAGUUGAAUGCGCUGCUUUUGACCACCACUAAGAUUAACUCCUCUUUCACCUAUUUCAGUGAGAUCACCAUAAGGUAGCAACUCAAGGUCUUUUAAAAGUGAACAUUUUUCCAAUGUUUGCUGGUAUCUCUGGUUAUCCAGUGGAGAACCAAACAAAAUAUUUUCUCGUAUUGACCCCGUCUGAAUCCAUGCAGACUGAGAGACAUAGGCAAUUCUUCCAUUAACUUGAACCUGCAGAACACAGAGAAUAUAUAUAUCAGUUGGGGGGAUAUGGAAUUAUUUUCUUGUGCAGGACGUGAAGUAAAUUAUGUAUGUGCUUACAAUAAUAAACUUUGAGAACCUACUUAUCAUUUUCCUACCUAGCAAGGAAAACAGUAACUAACCAGUACAACUUACAGUUCCUUGGAUACUUGGAACUUCUCCAAGAAGUGCUCCCAGAAGAGUUGACUUUCCUGAGCCCACCUCCCCACAUAUUGCAAUCUUCUCACCGGGUCUAACCUCCAAAUUAAUAUUUCUCAGUGUAGGUCGAGAUGAAUUCUCUUCCCAUGAGAGAUUAGCUGAUUUGAUAAGUAUAGCAUUAUGUGUACUUGCAAAGUUGUGAUCCUGCCUAACGUUUGCAUUUUCUAGCUCAUGGGCCUCAAGGAACUUGACAAUCCUUGCAAAUGAAACUUUGGCUUGAAUCACCACACCAAUAACGUCAGGAAUGGUUCUUAUUGGAUCCUGAACAAUACGUAAAGUUGCUACAAAGGUGAAAACGUUGCUUGCAUGCAGUGGAACACGUAGGAAAUAACAAGACCCAAAUGUUGCAGCAGAGACCAAAACAGGUGAUGACCACAAAAGGAAGACAUUAUAUCCCUUACUCAACUGAACGGCUGAUAACCAUUUCUCUUCUACUCUCCUCAAACUUUCAAUUACACUCUUAAAAUGAGUUUCCCAUGCAUAUAAUUUCAGAACUUUCAUAUUCACAAGAGCCUCUGAGAUAGCCUUGAGCCUAUCAUCUUGUGCUACCAUUAGCUUGGUCUGGAAUUUAUGUUGCAACUUUGCUAGCGGAGCGUUGCACAGCACAGUGAGUAUAAUCACUACCAAGGAUGCAAAAGUUGCAAGUCCAACUGCGCGGAAGAGAAUGAUAAGAGCAAAGCAGAGCUGGACACUUGUUGUCCACGUUUGAUGCAACCAAAAAGGAAACUCUCCAAUUCGAUAAGCAUCCACAGUUACAUAGUUCAUGAUUUUGCCGCUAGAAUGCAUCAGCUUAGCAGCAUUGGAUAAUCUUAUUUGCUUCUUAUAAAUGGCUGCUGUAAGUAAAGACCUUACUUUUAGACCAAUUAGUCUGCUCCUGAAGUACCAUUGCCUUUGUGACAAGGAUUCCAAGUUCUUUGAUAUAAAAAGCAGAAUAGCCAAUAAAAAUCCCUCAUUUUUAAAAGCUACGUCUCCUUCAGCAACCUUAAUGAACGCAUUAAGAAGCAGAGGACCAGCAGAAAGAGUAGUUAUUUUCAGUAGCGCAAAGAAUCCUGAGACAAUGAGCUCCUUCCAGUGACAUAAUACAAUUGUCUUCAAAAUGGACGGCUGGGAAGAGGGAUCAACUUGUGUCUGUUUGUUCAGUAGAUCCACAUACAUUAAGUAACAAGAUUCAGCACGAUCCGCCUCACGCAAUGUGGGCAUGUCUUCAUCCUCAAGAAUUUUGUGCUUCCCCUUCUUCAUCAGUGGAUUCAACCACCAAAAUGACAUUUGAUUAAGAAUCCCAGCCUUAGCAAACAGAGUGACAGAGCUAACAGAAUCACUUUUACCGAUUCCAUUGGCAGCACCAUUUAAGGGAGUAUAAAGAUCAUUUUUAUCUCUCUCUUCAUGCUGCAGCCCCUUGUAGGUGCAUAACAACAAUAAACAUGCUCCUACAAAGGACAAAACAUCUAGAGCUAUCUUCAUUGUUACCUCUUUACCAAUAAUAGCUGCAAAGAGUGACACACUCGCAAAAAUUCCAGCAAAGACAAAGGCAAGAAUUGACAAGAGCUUCAGAGGGGUUCUUGAAAUAUGGUUCCCUCGAAGGCUUGCGGUUAAACUUACCGAUAACCAUGUAAUUCCAUGAAACAAGAUUAGUAACCACCAACGCAGUGGUAAUGUACUAUGGGUUUUCUUCACCUGGUCAACAUAGAGCCAAAUGAAUAAGGACAAAUAUAUUAUCCCCAGGAAACCAUUAAAAAUAGCAGAAGCCAACUGCAAACGCGAGAACCCAGAAAAACGAGCAGGAAUGUUGGUAGAUUUUAAAUAUGACUUGAAAAAUAGAGUGAAUAGGAAGAACAACAGGAGUAUAACAUCAAAACAAAUGAUCAACACAUGAUUGAUACAGGAUGAAGGUUGUGCCACGGACAUCCAAUCAGUACUGCAAUCGCAAUCCAUGCAAUGGGCAAAUUCAACUCCUGGUAUCAAGAAAGUAUUAACAAGAUCAGACUUCUGAAGAGACAUUCCUGUGGAAAAAAAAGAAGUAAAAGAAAUUGUAUGGUUAAGAAUUAUUGAAAGGCACAACUUUAGAAUCAAUUAUUUCGACAAACUAGGUUGCAAGCAGUUGUGAAGAUGCUCAAAAUUAACUCGAUGCACCUUAAUAUAUUUCCUUUUUUAUGACGUUGGUGUACGGUCAAGCUUGCGCGCUUUAAUAUGUUGUAUAUGUCGUCAUAAAUGUGUAUACAGAUAAAUAGAUAAAUAUGAGCACUACUACAUCCACAGACUUCACUACUCAGCUAAUCUUUCACCAAUGCUAGACAGUGAAAUAUAACAAAACUAAAAGGCGGAAUACAUCGACAACCCCUUAAGCUUGCCAGUAUAUUUCCUUUAGACACUCGAACUAAGGCCUGUUUCAAUUGAGCACCGAACCCAUUACAAAAUGUGCCUAUUAGACAAUUCCCACUCAUACAUUACAAAGUGCAGCAAAAAUUUCUGGAUUAAUUUAUGUAAUUUGGUUUCUUGGUCUGUUGGAACCAAUUAAGGUUGGUAGUAAUUUAUGGAAUAUCUAUAUAAUGUUGGACAAACUGUUUGUUGGGUGUGCAAACAAAGUCACACAUAGAUAGCUGAAAAGAUUGGAAAUAUACAUAUAAGGUGCAUUUAUCUCUUAAUAGUGUGAGGUCUUUUUGGAAAUUCAUACGAGCUUGGCUCAUAACGGACAAUAUCACAUUAUGUUAAGAGUAUCAUUGGGCUGACUUAGCCCAACAACCGGUAUCAAAGUCCAGGUUUGGCGGGACGAGUAUGACGAUGAUUGUAGAGUGAUGGCGUGGGGCUCGGUUUUCUUCCCCUCACGAGCUUAGAGAUGCACGCAGACAAGAAGAAGCUAGUAGCGGGCUUUGGUUGUAAUGGGUUCAGGUGCUUAAUUGAACCAGGCUUUAGUUCGAGUGUCUGAAUGAAAUAUACCGGCAAAUAUAAGGGGCUUUAAUGUAUUCUGCCAAAAUAUAACUGAAAGAAAGAAUGGUUCCAAGAGACCAAUCGUUACUUGGUGCUCUGCUCAGCAUAAGAUAAUAAGAAAUUCACAUGCGAGAUUCCAAAAUGCAUCUAAGAAACAGUAAUAAAAGGUCAGACCAAGCCAAAGAAAAAAAAAAUGAAAGAACCAAAAACCGGCAAACCAGAGUAAACAAAAAGUUGAAGACAGUAAAAAGGACUAACCAAAAUAGCAGAAGGUGGAUGACAAAAACGCUGCGAGUCAUGGAAAUGCCACCAACAGAAAACAAUAUAAUCCUUAAAACCCAGAAGUAAUGGUGAUUAUGUCGUUCAUCUUUAAAACUCAGAGCUAGUAAUAAGACAGAGGAAAAGAUGAAAGGGCGGGUGAUUAUUUUGGAUGGCACAGUACUAUACUUUUGGUUGGCUUUAUUAACUAAGCUUCUAUUACCCAAAAAAACUAAGCUUUAAAAAAUCCCUUUUUUUUUUGUCUUAUAAUCAUCACUUAGGUGUUACGUCAAGCACCUAGGAGGUAAUAAAAACAAUCACUAUGUUUCACAAACCGAAGUCAAAAAUGAAUUGUAUAGUGGAUCAUAAUUUGCGGUUUACUCAACAUGCAACAACACAAACGCCUUGGCGUAUAGGGACAAACUCCAUUCCAUUGAAUGAGUUGACCAAAGAAUACAUAUUUUAUGUUAUCUUCACAGAUGCUCUGUUAUCCUAAUAUCUUUAUUUCCUUUGCGCGAACUUAUCCACUAAUCCAGUUUUUGCAAAGACUGUUCACGUUAAUUUAGCGGUGUGAUGAACAACGCAAGGCCUUAUAUACGGUCAUUUAAUUCAAGAAGACUUAUGGAGAAAAUUAGUUACUUUGUUUUGUGAACACCCCUUUUUGGGAUGCUCGUGAUAUUUAUGUCCGAUCUCUAAAAAUAAUUUAGCUUUUAAAAAGAUUAAAUAAAAGAACCAAACGAUGUAACACCUAAAGUUGUGAUCAAACCCAUUAGUUACUUUUAGAAAAAUCCAUUUAUUUUGAGAAGUUUAUUUUUUCAGCAUUUCUUUUUACAAAAGGUAUUUUUGGUGAAAAACAGUUUGUGUUUGACUAAUUAAUUUAAAAAACACUUCUAAGUAAGUAGCAGUUUGUGUUUGACCAAACUUUUAAAAAGUAUUUCUAAGUAUAUUUUUCUCAAAAGUGAUUCUCAAAAAAGUAUUUCUAGGAAGAAACUACUUUUUUCUGCUUCUACUUCUACUCAAAAAUACUUUUUUUUUCUUCUAAAAGUUUGGCCAAACAGUUCAACUUUAAACUUUAAAAAAUAAGUGUUUUUCGGUUUGGAGAAGCUCGGCCAAAAAGACUAUUUGUUUUGAAAAUACACCAUUUUGGGAUGCUCUGAGUAGUGUUUCUCUUUUCUUUUUUAAGACCCUCAUUAUAUCUAGUAGCUUAAAAAAACAAGGGAAAGAAAAAUUUAGUUUAUUUUUCCCUCUUUCCACUUUAGCUUUACUCCCGAAACUGAGAAAGAAAACAAGAACCAAUUCUAAUACUAAGAACAGAGUGAUUGUUUUCAACUCUGAUGGCACAGACAUCAAUACUUGUACAUUGUAAUUCAUGAUUCAUGAGCUAAGUAAUGAAGUUAAGCACUAGAGUUAUUCAAGCAACUCUAACGAGUAAUGUUGCGGAAGUCAAAUAUAUAGAGAGUAAUUAAAUCACAAUUACUAUAUCUAAAGGUAGCUAAUAAAUAGUAAAUGAGACAAUAAUAAAAGGAACACCAGAAAUUAACGAGGUUCGACAAAAUUUAAUUUUUGCUUAGUCAUCGGACACAAUCAACUCAAACUUUAUUUCACUCCAAAAAAUACAAGUGAAAUACUACAAGUGAGGAAAAAGAUUCAAAUGCCUUAGGAGAUAAGAAGGCAAGUAAGAGAUGUUUUCAAAUGAACAAAACCCUUGCUAUUUAUAGAAGGGAAAUGACUUUAAUAAUGUCAUGCAUGACAUCAUAUUAAGUGUGAACAUGCAAUGUAAAUGCAUGAAAAAUGCAUCUACCAAUUUCUUCCUAAAAGGAGGCUUCAAAUGUUCACACUAGUUCACAUUAAUCUUGUCAAAUUCAACAAAUCUCCACCUUGGCAAGAUUCCCCUUUUUUCAAUUUUCUCUCACUGAUAAAUUUUGAUUGUGUCUUCAACUUCAAUCUUCAAAGUUCAACAAUGUUGAUCAAGUUCAAACAAUGUUAAAACUUGAUCGCAGUCACUACUUUUGUUAGCAUAUCGGCAGGAUUGUCUGUAGUUCGAAUUUUCUGCACCAUGACUCCACCUUCUUCUAUAAUAUCUCGUACAAAGUGAUAUCGAACAUCAAUGUGCUUCGUCCUUGCAUGAUAAACUUGGUUCUUUGCUAAUUGGAUAGCACUUUGGCUAUCACAAAAUAGUGUGAUGCUUUCUUGACCAAUACCAAGCUCUCUAAGCAACCCUUGAAGCCAAAUUGCCUCUUUUACAGCCUCCGUAAUUGCCAUGUACUCUGCCUCAGUAGUAGACAAAGCAACCAUUGACUGCAAAGUAGACUUCCAACUAACUGGUGCAUUUGCAAAAGUGAAAACAUAACCAGUAGUUAAUCUACGCUUUUCCAAAUCACAUGCAUAAUCCGAGUCACAAUAUCCAACCAGAUACUGACUAUCUUCCUGCUCAAAAAUCAAUCCAAAAUCUACAGUAUUACGAAUAUACCGUAGAAUUCAUUUCAUAGCUUGCUAAUGCUCCUUUCCUGGAUCAUGCAUAUACCUGCUUACAACUACGAUAGCAUGUGAAAUAUCAGAUCUUGUGCAAACCAUUGCAUACAUCAAACUACCAACGACAUUCGCAUAUGGAACUCUUGACAUAUACUCUCGUUCAGCUUUAUUCUUCGGCGAUAUAGCAGCACUAAGCUUAAAGUGAGGAGCAAGAGGAGUUCUAACCGAUUUCAUGUUCUCAUUCAUGCCAAAUCGAUCUAUUACUCUCUUCAAGUAUUCUUUCUGAGAUAGAUAGAGUUUCUUUGAAUGUCUAUCUCUUUUUAUCUCCAUGUCAAGAAUUUUCUUCGCCUCACCUAAAUCUUUCAUCUCAAAUUUCUUUCUUAGUUGAAUCUUCAACUUCUCAAUUUCCUCUUGACUUUUGGAAGCUAUCAACAUAUCAUCUACGUAUAGGAGAAGAUAUAUGAAGGAUCCAUCGUCAAGCUUGCGCAAAUACACACAAUGAUCGUAUUUGCUUCUUUUGUACUUCUGCCGCAACAUAAACUUGUCAAAUCAUUUAUACCAUUGUUUAGAAGAUUGUUUCAAUCCGUACAACGAUUUUUUAAGUUUGCACACCAUAUUUUUCUUUUCAGCAACUUUGAAUCCUUCUGGCUGAGUCAUAUAGAUUUCCUCUUCCAAGUCUCCAUGUAAAAAUACAGUUUUUACAUCUAACUAAACUAGUUCCAAAUUUAACUGUGCUAUCAAAACCAACAAAACUCUAAUAGAGGAGUGUUUCACGAUUGGAGAAAACACCUCAUUGUAAUCAAUUCCCUCCUUUUGAGCGUACCCUUUGGCCACCAAUCUUGCUUUAUAGCGAACAUCUUCUUGGUUAGGAAAUCCUUCUUUCUUUGCAAAGUCAUUUGCACCUAAUUGCUUUCUUGCCCUUCGGGAGAUUGACCAAUUUUCAUGUGCAAUUCUGAUGAAGGGACUGCAUUUCUUCAUUCAUGGCAAUCCUACACUUAUCUUCUUCUGAACUUUAGACUGUGUCUUUAUAAGUGGUAGGAACAUCAUCAACUACAAUUGAGGCUGCACAAGCCACCGUCUCUAUGAGACGAACAGGUUUCUUUAUUGUUCUUUUUGGCUUGUUGGUUGCUAUUGAUUCAAGUUGUUAUUGGGAUUCCUGAGUUGGAAUCUCCCCUUCCACUGACUCUUCUUCCAGGGGAUAAUCUUCUAUCGUUUCCUCGUUUUCUCCCUGUGUUGGGAAAAUUAAUUUUCCCUCAAACUCCACCUGCUUUGAAGCACCAUCAGUUUGUUUGACAUUUUCAACUGUCACCUUAUCUGUUAUGGCAGAUUCAUCAAAGGUAACAUCUCUACUGAAUAUAAUUUUUCUUGUCUCUGGACACCAUAAUCGAUAUCCUUUAACUCCAGAAGUAAUCCCCAUAAAUAUAUCUUUCUUUGCCCUCGGAUCCAAUUUUGACUCUUUCACAUGAUAGUAUGCAAUUGAGCUAAACACAUGCAAAAAAUUAUAAUCUUCAGCAGGUUUUCCAUACCAUUUUUCAAAUAGUGUCUUUCCUCCAAUAGCGGCAGAUGGUAGACGAUUAAUAAUGUGGCAUGCAUAUGUUAUUGCCUCAGCCCAAAAUUCUUUACCCAAGCCAGCACUGGACAACAUACACCGAACCUUCUCCAGCAAAGUCCGGUUUAUGCGUUCUGCCACUCCAUUCUGUUGUGGUGUAUUUCUGAUGGUGAAAUGUCUCAAAAUGCAUCAUCUUCACAAAUUUUAUUGUAAAGAUCAUUUUUGUAUUCUCCACAAUUAUCUGUACGAAGAUACUUUAUCUUUCUGCCUGUUUGAGUCUCUAUCAUCGCCUUUUAUUUGAGAAAAAUUUCNNNNNNNNNNNNNNNNNNNNNNNNNNNNNNNNNNNNNNNNNNNNNNNNNNNNNNNNNNNNNNNNNNNNNNNNNNNNNNNNNNNNNNNNNNNNNNNNNNNNNNNUUGAUCUGAUAAAAUCUUCAAGGAUUUUCCUCCAGCAUGUCCCCAAGCGCAUGUGCCAUAGCUUAGUUGCUUCUGCCUCCUUGUCAUCAUUGGAUGUCACCGUUGCUGUCCCAAUAACUGUACUACCGUGAUAGUGGUACAUGUUAUUAUUUCGUCUAAUUCCUUUCAUUACCACUAGUGCACCGGAGCAUAUUCUCAUUAUCCCAUUUUCUGCAAUGACUUUGGGCCCCUUUGACUCUAAGGCUCCUACAGAAAUGAGAUUUUUCUUUAAUUCCGGUACGUAUCGAACAUCUGUAAGGUUCUGAUCAAUCCAUUAUGGUUCCUUAAUCGGAUUGAACCAAUACCAUAUGUGGUAAGAGGAUCGUUAUUCGCGGCGUGAAUAACUCCACAUUACCCUUCUUGAAAACCAAUGAACCAGUCCCUGUUAGGAUACAUAUGAUAGCUACAAGCUGAAUCCAUCAGCCAUAUAUCAGAUGGUUUGAAUGGCUCAGUUGUAAACUAGUGAGAAAUCAAAGUCGUCACAAUUAGCUACAUUUGAAUCCAUGACAGCCUUCCCAUUGUUAGGUUUGGCCUUGUUUUUCAACUUUGGACAGUCUUUCUUCCAAUACCCCUUUUCUCGGCAAAAGGCGCAUUCAUCUUUGCUGGGUCUGGAUCUUGACUUGGAUCUUCCUUUCUUCGUUCUCAUAUGAUUUUGAGAACUAUCUCUCACGACCAGUGCUUCUCCUUCUCCACUCUUUUGUUUUUCUCUCUUUCUUUGUUCAUAGCUGUACAAGGCAGAACAAACUUCCUUGAGAGACACUUCAUCAUUCCCAUGAAGUAAAGUAGUUUCGAGGUGCUCGUACUAAUCGGGAAGUGAACUUAAUAACAUUAAGGCCAUAUCUCCAUCACUAAAAGUUACGUCCAUAUUCUGCAAAUCUCUCGCCAACUUAUUAAAGCUGGUGAUAUGAUCAUUCAUUGUAGUACCAGGAACAUAUGUGAAGCGUAACAAUCUUUUUUUCAUGUAAAGUUUAUUUUGACUGUUUUUCUUCAAGAAUUUAUCCUCCAACGCAUUCCACAAUUUACUUGCAGAAGUUUUUUUUGUGUAUGGAUACUUCUGUUCUCUUGCGAGGUAAGAUUGAAUGGUACCACAAGUAACGCGGUUGAUAAUCUUCCAAUCUCCUUCUCCAAUAUUAUCUGGUUUCUUUUCUUCUAUGACAAUAUCUAGCCCUUGUUGAAAAAGGACAUCAAGAACCUCAGCUCGCCACAUCCCGAAAUGUCCUGACCCGUCAAAAAUUUUAACUGUAAAUUUCGCAUUUGACAUAAUUCUUGUCAUAAGCGAAGAUGCUAACGACGUAUUACUGACACCCGAUAUGGACUCUUCAUUUUUAUUAUCUCUCAUUUUUGCUACAAAUACUAUUUAUUUGCUGACAGUACAGAACACCAAAGUAAUUCUUUUCUGAUGUGGAAGUUCAGACUAUGCUGCAACCACAGAGCAUAUUAAGAUAGAACCUUGGCUCUGAUAUCAAUUGUUGCGAAAACCGAAUAUAUAGAGAGUGAUUAAAUCAUAACUAUUAUAUCUAAAGGUAGCUAAUAAAUAGUAAAUGAGACAAUAAUAAAAGGAACACCAGAAAUCAACGAGGUUCGGCAAAAUUUGAUUUUUGCCUAGUCCUCGGACACAAUCAACUCAAACUAUAUUUCACUCCAAAAAAUACAAGUGAAAUACUACAAGAAAGAAAGAAGAUUCAAAUGCCUUAGGAGAUAAGAAGGCAAGUAAGAGAUGUUUUCAAAUAAACAAAACCCUUGCUAUUUAUGGAAUGGAAAAUGGCCUUAAUAAUGUCAUGCAUAACAUCAUAUUAAGUGUGAACAUGCAAUGUAAAUGCAUGAAAAAUGCAUCUACCAAUUUCUUCCUAAAAGGAGGCUUCAAAUGUUCACACUAGUUCACAUUAAUCUUGUCAAAUUCAACAAGUAAUGUGUCGCAAGAAUUCAUACAGAUACACAUUAAGUGGAAUCUGAGUAAUUUUUGAAGGGAUCUGUUGAGAGAAAUGUCAAGUUUAAGUUUCAUAGUCAUUUAUAGGAAACAUUGUUCACUUUCAUAAGUUCCCCGGCUGAUUCUCUUCCGCUUGUAUUGUUUUUUUGUCAUACAGUUACAAAAUUGAUAAGAGCAAGAAUUUAGGCUAGUUUUCAUACUGUUUGUAGACAAUUAUUCAUAUGGUCAGAUGUCUAUGGUUCUUUCUUUUGCUCGUUUAAGCUUUUCUGGAGAAGUCAUGUUUGAUAUUUUGCACUACACAGGUUUGCCGAUGCAGCAUUGAAGUUUUCUUCUGCCAAGUUUAGGCAAUCAUAUGCAGAAUUCAUUUUCGGGAAACUCAUUCAAAUUGGUUGACAGUAAAAGUGGUUCUAUAUAGGGUGUAGUAAAGAUCAGGAGGGCUUUGGAUUUGCCUCCAUCUGAGGAUAAAGAAAAAGCUUCUACCGAACGUAAAUGUUUCUUUAUGUUGCGGAAGCCAAAUGUAUAUAGUAUGAAUGAGUCACAACUACUAUACCAAAAAUUAUGACAACCACUAAAUAAUAAACAAGACAAUAAGACAACAAUAAAAGAACACCAGAAUUUACGAGGUUCGGCCAAUUUUGCCUACUUCCUCGGACACAAUCAAUAUUUUAUUCCACUAUAAUUUUACAAGUGAAUUAAUACUAAAGAGAGAAGAUACAAAUGCCUCAAGAAGAUAAAAAAGGCAAAUGAGAGGUGUGUUUAAAUCCUAAACAUUAGGCCUCUUUUUAUAGGGUGAAAUUCUCAUUUAAAAUUGUCAUCCACCGAUGUGGGACUUUUGACAAUUUCAACAAAUUUUCACCUUGGCAAAAUUCCACAUCUUCAAUUUUCUCUCAAUAAUAAAUUUUGGUUGUGUCUUCAUCUUCAAUCUUUAGUGUUCAACAAUGUUGAUCAAAUCCAAACAAUGUUGAAACUUGACCGCAGUCACCUCUUUUGUCAGCAUAUCAGCAGGGUUCUCCGUAGUAUGAAUUUUCUUCACCGUGACUCCACCUUCUUCUAUGAUUUCUCGUACGAAAUGAUACCGAACAUCAAUAUGCUUUGUCAUUGCAUGAUAAACUUGGUUCUUCGCUAAUUGAAUAGCACUUUGACUAUCACAAAAAAAUGUAAUUUUUUUUGUUCAAUACCAAGCUCCUUUAGCAAUCCCUGAAGCCAAAUUGCCUCCUUCACAGCCUCUGUAAUAGCCAUGUACUCUGCCUCCGUUGUAGACAAAGCAACUGUUGACUGCAAAGUAGACUUCCAACUAACUGGUGCCUUUGCAAAAGUAAACACAUAACCAGUAGUUGACCUUCGUUUGUCCAGANNNNNNNNNNNNNNNNNNNNNNNNNCCCAAAAUUCUUUGCCCAAGCCAGCAUUGGACAACAUACACCGUACUUUCUCCAGUAAAGUCCGGUUCAUACGUUCUGCCACUCCAUUCUGUUGCAGUGUAUGUCUGACAGUGAAGUGUCGGACGAUGCCAUCAUUUUCACAGACCUUAUUGAAAUGAUCAUUUUUGUAUUUACCUCCAUUGUCUGUGCGAAUACACUUGAUCCUCCUGCCUGUUUGAUUCUCCACCACCGUCUUCCAUCUGAGAAAAAUUCCCAACACUUCAUCUUUCCUCUUCAUUGUAUACACCCACACUCUUCGGGAGAAAUCAUCAACAAAGGUUACAAAAUAGUGCUUCCCACCCAAUGAAGGUGUUUUGGAAGAACCCCAAAAAACAGAGUGUACAUAAUCCAAAAUGCCUUUAGUAUUAUGGAUCGUUGUACCAAAUUUAACCCUUGUCUGUUUUCCUUUGACACAAUGCUCGCAAAACUCCAAGUUGCAACUCUUUACACCUUUUAACAAUCCUUGAUUAGAUAGAGCUUUCAAGGAUUUCCCUCCAGCAUGUCCCAAGCGCAUGUGCCAUAGCCUGGUUGCUUCUGCCUCUUUGUCAUCACUGGAUAUCACUGUUGUUGUCCCAAUAACUGUACUACCACGAUAGCGGUACAUGUUAUUAUUCUUCCGAUUGGCCUUCAUUACCACUAGUGCACCGGAGCAUAUUCUCAUCACUCCAUUUUUUGCAAUGAUUUUGAACCCUUUUGAUUCUAGGGCUCCCACAGAGAUGAGAUUCUUCUUCAAACCCGGUACAUAUCAAACAUCUGUUAAUGUUCUGAUCAUUCCAUCAUGGCUCCUUAAUCUUAUUGAACCAAUGCCAUAUGAGGUAAGAGGGUUGUUAUCCGCUGUGUGGAUGACUCCAUAUUCUCCUUCUUGAAAAUUUACGAACCAGUCCUUGUUGGGACACAUAUGAUAGCUACAAGCCGAGUCCAUCAACCAUAUGUCUGAUGAUGUUGAUAACUCUGUUGUAACUAAUGAGAAGUCUGAAUCAUCACAAUCAGCUACAUUUGAAUCCAUAAUAGCCUUUCCAUUGUUAUGUCUGGCCUUAUUCUUCAACUUCGGACAGUCUUUUUUCCAGUGCCCCUUUUUCUCGACAAAAAGGCACAUUCAUCUUUGCUAGGUCUAGAUCUCGACUUGGAUCUUCCCUUCUUAGUCCUCCUUUGAUUUUGAGGACGAUCCCUCACAAUUAGGGCUUCUCCUUCUCCGCCAAUCUGUUUUUCUCCCUUUCUUUGUUCAUAGCUGUACAAAGCCGAACAAACUUCUCUAAGAGAAAUUUCGUCAUUUCCAUGGAGUAGAGUAGUUUCAAGGUGCUCGUACUCAUUAGAAAGUGACCCCAACAACAUCAAGGCCAAGUCACCAUCAUCAAAAGUUGCAUCCAUAUUUUGCAGAUCUGUGACCAACUUAUUGAAACUGGUGAUAUGUUCAUUCAUUGUGGUACCAGGAACAUAGGUGAAGCGAAACAGUCUCUUCUUCAUGUACAAUUUAUUUUGACUGUUUUUCUUCAAAAAUUUAUCCUCCAGUGCUUUCCCUAAUUUACUUGCAGAAGUUUCCUUUGUGUAUGGAUAUUUCUGCUCUCUAGCAAGGUAGGAUCGAAUGGUACCGCAAGAAACACGAUUGAUAAUUUUCCAAUCUUCUUCUCCAAUAACAUCUGGCUUCUUUUCUUCAAUGGCAAGAUCUAGCCCUUGUUGGAAAAGAACAUCUAGAACCUCGCCUUGCCACAUCCUAAAAUAUCCUGACCCGUCAAAAAUUUCUAUCGCAAAUUUCGCAUUUGACACAAUUCUUGUCAUAAGCAAAGAUGCCAACGAUGACGUAUUAUUGACACUUGAUGUAGAUUCUUCUUGUUUAUUGUCUGCCAUUUUGACACAAAUAUUAUUUAGUAGCUGACGACACAAAUUAAGAUUAUUUCCUUUCUGGUGUGGAAGAUCAGACUAAGUUGCAACCACAGAGCAUACCAGACAGAACCUUGACUCAGUUAACAAGAUAGAUCUUUUCUGAUGUGGAAGAUCAGACUAUGCUGCAACCACAGAGCAUACUUAGACAGUACCUUGGCUCUGAUACCAAUUGUUGCGGAAGCCAAAUGUAUAUAGUGUGAAUGAGUCACAACUACUAUACCAAAAAUUAUGACAACCACUAAAUAAUAAACAAGACAAUAAGACAACAAUAAAAGAACACCAGAAUUUACGAGGUUCGGCCAAUUUUGCCUACUUCCUCGGACACAAUCAAUAUUUUAUUCCACUCCAAUUUUACAAGUGAAAUAAUACUAAAGAAAGAAGAUACAAAUGCCUUAAGAAGAUAAAAAAGGCAAAUGAGAGGUGUGUUUAAAUCCUAAACAUUAGGCCUCCUUUUAUAGGGUAAAAUUCCCAUUCAAAAUUGCCAUCCACCGAUGUGGGACUUUUGACAAUUUCAACACUUUAUUUGUUAGAUUCCACCUUCUUGACCCAGUAUUACUAGUUAAGGAAGUGCUUGCUUCUUUAAUAGCGACUGAAAAAAUUACUAUGGCUGAUUAGUUAUUAAUUGUAGCAUAACUGUAUAAUGACAUCCUGAAAAUUAUUUAUUUGGGAAAGAAGGAAUAACAAGAAUCUUAGUGGAAAAUAUACAUCUGGUGACCAAUGCAUACAGAAUCAAAAAGAUUGGCACAAGGUACAGUUGAUUCGAGCACUACCUCCCAAGUUGCUCAGCAACUUAUAUAAUAGAACUUGUGGCACUAACUCCUUUACUUUUCUUGCUCAUACGAAUGCCCCACGUUGGUUUAUGUUAUCCCGGAAUUCCUUAUCUUGCUCAUGAAAAACAGAUUGACAUCAAGCUCUCCACUGCCCUAAUGGUGGCUUGUUGGGGCAUCUAUAGCAGUUCAAUGUACAUGGACAAUAUAGGCCAGGGAAAAGAAGAUGGUGCAAACAUGCAUUUAGCUUCAAUGAGAUUCCGCUAAGUGAUAAUGAGACCAAUACUCCUUGACAAGUUGCCUGAAUAGCAAACCAUCUUGCUUCAUCAUACUCCACUAGUUUCCCUGUAUUCUCAACCAAAGUUAAAGUCAUUAGAACUAAUACAUACUGGGAUUAACAAGUCUGAAAGUCUUAACAUAGUCGUGUUUAAAAGUAAACAAACAGGUCCUGCCAUCACUAAUGACCAGAACCAUCACACAAUCCAUUGCUGUGGAUAUCCUGUGGGCAACUGUAAUUACAGUACUGUUAGCAAAUUCUGUCCUGAUUUUUUUCUGCAGUAUCAUAUCAGUUGCAUUGUCAAUCGAUGCAGUUGCUUCAUCAAGCGACAAAAUCUUGAUUUUCCUCAAAAGAGCACGUCCCAAACAGAACAAUUGUCGCUGCCCCAUGCUCCAGUUUGAUCCAUCUUCCACAACUGAAACGACUUUACAAUGGUUAAACAGAAACCCAAGUACAAUUGUUCUCCCUCGCAUUAGGGCGGACAAUUUUCAAAUCACAAAUGUCAUGCUCAUAUUGCUUGAGCAAAGAGGGUACUUCACAGGGGCACCUCAUCAAAACGCUUACAAGCACUUGAAGGAAUUUGUGGAUGCUUGAUGGGGAAGUAAGCAAACCAAUGUGUCCGAAGAUUCUAUGAGGUUGAGGUUGUUCCCUUUUUUACUAAGGGGGAAAAUCUUCUUAUUUGGAGCGUUUACCAAAUCACUCUAUCCACACUUGGGAUAAGUUAGCAGUGGAAUUCAUCACCAAGUUCUUUUACCCCAGAACAAUGUUGAGGGAUGAGAAUUUGGCUUUCAAGCAAGAACCAAACGAGCCACUACAUGAGAUUUGGGAUCGUUAUAGAACCAUGGUGAAGGAAUGUCCUAACAAUGACAUGACCGAGAAUAUGUUACAACAAAUCUUCUAUUGUGGCAUCAAUAUAACCAAUCAAUGUGUGGUGGACCAGUUGGCCGGGGGAACUCAUGACUACAUCAUGUCCGGAAGCUUGUGCAAUACUUGAUGAAAUGGCAGAAACAUCAUCCGCUUGGCAAUCCCGAGCAAAUGUGCCUUAAGGAGAUUCUAAUAUGAUUCAUCUUCACAAGGGGUUACAAGAUCGUGGUCAAGCCAUUGCCGAGUUGACUACCACUAUGACUCAACUUGCCAAAGCUCCACUCAACAAACUCAAGCUCCGAAACAAGUUCAUGCAUCAACUUCAAGAUGAGAUAUAUUCACAAGAUGAUGGAUGCUACAAUCAAGCGGGUCCUGAUUAAAAGCAAAAUGAGUAAGUGCAAUUUGUGAGCAACUAUCAAGGUCAAAGAGGUACUUUCCAAGAGUCUAAUCAAGGACAAUGGAGGCCUAAUAAUAAUCAGGGCAGUUGGAACAACAACAAUCAAGGCAAUUGCGAGAACAACAUUGGCCCUUUGUUUAGAUCCCAAAAGAUGAACGCCCUCUAUUGCAUGACUUGAUUCGGAGCUUGAGUUUGUUGGAGCUGAGCUUUGGAAAGUUGAGUUAUAAUGGUAGUCAACUCUUGCAACUCCUUGUGAAGAUGAAUCAAAUUAGGAUCUCCUUGAGGAACAUUUGCUCGGUAUUGCCAAGCAGAUGAUAUUUCCCCCCAUUUUAUGAAGUAUUGCACAAGCUUCUGAAUAGGGUGUAGUCAUGAAGCUUUCCCCUGCCAAUUGGUUCACCAUACAUUGAUUGGUUGUAUUGAUGCCACGAUAGAAGGUGUGCUGCAACAUAUUCUCGGUCAUGUCAUUGCUAGGACAUUCCUUCACCAUAGUUCUAUAACGCUCCCAAAUCUCAUGUAGUGGCUCGUUUGGUUCUUGCUUGAAAGCCAAAAUCUCAUCCCUCAACAUUGCUAUAUGUCCGGGUGAAAAGAACUUGGCAAUGAAUUUUGCCGCUAACUUAUCUCAAGUGUGGAUUGUUAGGACAUUCCUUCACAAUAGUUCUAUAACGCUCCCAAAUCUUAUGUAGUGGCUCAUUUUGGUUCUUGCUUGAAAGCCAAAAUCUCAUCCCUCAACAUUGCUAUAUGUCCGGGUGAAAAGAACUUGGCAAUGAAUUUCGCUGCUAACUUAUCUCAAGUGUGGAUAGAGUGAUUUGGUAAACGCUCCAGCGAAUCAAAGACCUUUCAGCUUAGUGAAAAGGGGAAGAACCUCAACCUCAAAGCAUCUUGGACACAUUGGUUUGCUUACUUCCCCAACAAGCAUCCACAAAUCCCUUCAAGUACUUGUAAGCAUUUUGAUGAGAUGCCCCAAUGAAGCUCAAGCAAUGUGAGCAUGACAUUUGUGAUUUAAAAAGUGAUCGGCUUAAUACGAGGAGGAACAAUUUCACUUGCAUAUCCUUCAUUUUGUACGACAUGUUGUUGAUAUGGUUGUGGUGGUAGUGGAGUAGGUGAUGGUAGUGGAGGAGGUACUGUAGGUAGGUUUUGGGCUUUCCCUCUACCACGUCAGUUUCCUUGAACCGGCACCGCUUCAUCACCUACACAUCUUCCUCAAUAGCUCUAAAAGGCAAAUCACCAAGUUCAUGGUUACCUGCCAUUAGUAACCUACAACAAGCACACACAAAUUAAAGUAUUACAAAGGAAAGAUAAAAACUCAAGAAAACACACAAUAACAAAGUAGUACAAGAAUGUCGUACUUCCCGGCAACUGCCAAAAUUGAUAACAUCCAAUCCUAUACUUCUAACUGAAGCGUAGACGGUCGUUAGCAAAAUAAACGCAACUAGAUUGGGAUCGAAUCCCACAAGGAAUAGGUGUGCUAAGGUGUUCAAAUGUGUGUAAACUAGAUAAUUCUUAAAGUAAUCUUCAAACAAAAAAGUGGAUGAUCAAUUACAUCUAAAAUUACUACUAAAACUAAGCUAGGAAUUUUAUCGAACACAUAAAAUGCAAGUAAAAAUGAUUUUGUUUUCUAGUAAGAGAAGGACCGGGUUGUAACCUCAAUAUGAUAUAAUUAGUUCAUGGGUAUACUUAACUUGCCUAAAUACUUUGGAUUAGUGAUUAUGGUUAGGGGUGUUCAUAAAAAUCCGAAAAACCUAACCAAACCGACUAAAAACACUGAUACUUUUUUGGUUUGGUCUGGUUUUGGUUUUAAUCAAAAAAUAACCGAACAAAACUGAACCAAAUAGAAUAUAGAAGUAGCUAUUUAAAAUUUAUUAUAUUACACUUAUAUAUAUGUAUAUUUUUACACAAAUUUUCUAAAUUUUUAUGUUACAUUCUAAUAGUUUGCAUUUUUAGUCUAGUUCUUUGCUAUUAUAAUAAUCUAGUUCUUUGCCUUUACAUUCUAGUUUGAUUGAUAGUUUUCUUUUGCUAAAUACAAGAAUUUAUGUCAUGUUAAAAAUAAUCUAUUUUUAAUUGAAUCCUAAAAUUAUUCAUCACUAUUUGGUUCAAUUAUCAUCAAUAUAUCUUGGUAAAUGAUAGAUAUCAUCAAUUAUCAUCAAUUGGUUUGAUAGUGUUAAGUUGAAAAUGUAGUCGCCGGAAUAUGUGUUUGAUAGUUUAUGUCUCAUAUUUAAGAUAAAAAGAUAAAUAAUCGAAAAAAACGAAAAACCGACAUUCACCGAAUCCAUAAAAACUGACUUAAUUAGUUUGGUUCCAAUAUUUGAAAAACCGACUUACUUAGUUUGGUUUCUUUUUGGGGGAAAACCGAUCCAAACCGAACCCUGAACACUUUAUGAUCCGUUGCUAGCUACUCACUAGAAUUUUCUAACUCUAGCAAGCUUAUCCCUAAAGAGUUCUUCCAAACCAAAGGAAUGCAUUAAACCCCAAUUUAUAAUGACCCAAGUAGAAAUCUCCUUAUUCCUAGUUUGAUUUCAUUAAUCAAGCUUCAUUAAUUCCUUAAUAAGCUCAAAUCCUUGCUACUUGUUAAAUACCCAAUCCAACUUCCACCUUUCCAAGCAAGAAAUAGAUAAUAAAGGACUCAAUCUAGUAUUUACAACCACCAAAUUAGUAUUAAAGCAUGCAAACAAUUGGAUAAUCACAACCCAAGUAAUAAUAACCAAGAUAAUCAAACACCCAUUCACAUUAAUGCCAUAAGAGUUUACAACCCUAGCUAUAAAGAUUAGCUACUCAUGCUAAAGAUAAAAACUAUAGGUUCAAAUGAAUAGAUAAACAUGAUUCGAAACUAAAUGAGUAAGAAAAUUCAAACACAAUGAUGGAGAUCCUCAAAUCAUUCCAUAAAAACUAUAGGUUCAAAUGAAUAGAUAAACAUGAUUCGAAACUAAAUGAGUAAGAAAAUUCAAACACAAUGAUGGAGAUCCUCAAAUCAUUCCAAAAGAGCUAAAGGCUGCGGUAGAAUAUUAGAAUAUUCAAAGGAAUGAAAGAUGACCUACGAGAAUUAGCUAAGAAUCUAUCGUCUAAAACCUGUGACAAAAUCGCCCUGUGGUCACAAAUCGUGGAGCCGAUUGAUGAUCAUCUCCACGUUUUGCUUUAAUACUUUAGUUGUAGGCUAAGUUUCAGGUGACUUCGUGGCCUUGUUCGUGGAGCCAAUGAUGUUUGUGGCCUUGUUCGUGGGCUGAAAUGGCUCCACGACUGAGAUCGUUUGCACAAUUUUUUCCAAACUUAGUCAUUUUCUCCACACCUUUUGAACUCCAUGAUUGCCUUCGUGGAGCCAAUUUCUCUGCACUUUUCAACCUUCAAAUUCUUCACCAAAUUCCAUCUCUUUUCAUCAUUUUUGAUCAAAUCCUUCAUCAACUAUUUCAUUUAAGCUCAAAUACCCGAGACAAACCAAAUUAAGUUAGUUCAAGCUAUUAAAUCUUACUUAAAGAACCUUAAAGCCCAAGAAAAAGGUAUGAAUAAGUUGGCAAAAUGCCAACUUAUCAAUUGUCACCUCUUUAUCAAGAAUAGCCGCAACAAGUGACAUAGCAUCAAAAAUUCCAGCAAAGACUAAGGCAAGAAUUGACAAGAGGCUCAAAGGGGUUUACGAAAUAUGGUUUCCCCGAAGGCUUGCGGUUAAACUUACUGAUAACCAUGUAAUCCAUGAAACAAGGUCAGUAACAACCAAUGCAGUGGUAAUGUACUAUGGGUUUUUUUCACCUGGUCUCCAAGCACCCAAAUGAAUAAGGACAAAUACAGUAUUCCCAGGAAACCAUUGAAAAUAGCAGAAGUCAACUGCAAACGUGAGAACCCAGAAAAGUAAACAGGAAUAUUGGUGUAUUUCGAGGAUGUCUAAGAAACCAGUGUACAUAGGAACAGCAGCAGGAGUAUAACAUCAAAUCAAAUGAUCAACGCAUGAUUGAUGUAGGAUGAAGGUUGAGCUGUGGAUACCCAAUCAAUACUGCAAGGUUUUCCAUUUUCGUUCGAGCAAUCUAAUGCCCCACAAAAUGCAGCCCAAACGUCCUCCAUCUCCUUCUCCAAUUUCUAAGCCCUGAAAUGAAAUUUCAGUCGAAAGAUUUAGACUUCAUUUAUAUGCAAUGGUAAUCCAUGCAAUGGGCAAAUUCAACUCCUUGUAUCAAGAAUGUAUUAACAAGGUCAGCCUUGUGAAGAGACAUUCCAGUGAAAAAGAAAAAGAAAAUAAUGGGAAAGAAAUUGUAUGGACAAGAAUUAUUGAAAUGCACAGCUUUAGAAUGUUUCAGAAACUAGGUUGCUAGCAGUAAUCAAAAUGUUCAAAAUGAACUUGAUGCACCUUAUUAUGUUAUUUAUGUAGUCAAAAAUGUGAAUGCAGAUAAAGAUGACCACUACAACAUCCACAGUCCACAUCACGCAACUAUCUUCAUGCUAGACAGUGAAAUAUCUUUUCUUUUCGUCAAUGCUAGACAGUAAAAGAUAACGAAAAUAAAACUGGAAGAGAAAACAGUUCCAAGAGACCAGGGAACUGUUACUAGGUGCUUUUUCACUUCAUUAAUAAGCUAGCAGUUACGGCGGCCAAGACUGUAGCUUUUAGUCGUUUGUAUGAGGAACUCGAGGGCCGAGGUGGGGAUAAUAGGUUGUUCAGGUUAGCCAAGGCGCGAGAAAGGAAGGCGCGUGACUUGGACAAAGUGAAGUGCAUCAAGGACGAAGAAGAUAGAGUUUUGUUGGAUGAGGGGCUUAUCCGUCGGAGAUGGCAUACCUAUUUCCAUAGUCUCUUGAACGAGGAGGGGGACAUAAGCAUUGUACUGGGUGAUUUGGUAUUCUCCGGGAGUUGUUGUGACUUUGGGUAUUGUAGGCGGAUUAGAGUUGAUGAAGUUGAGGGGGUUAUGCGUAAGAUGAGCAGGGGCAAACCGACCGGACCAGAUGAAAUCCCGGUGGAGUUUUGGAAGAGUGCGGGCAAGGCAGGCUUGGAGUGGCUCACUAGGUUAUUUAAUGUCAUGUUUAGAACGAAGAAAAUGCCCGAAGAGUGGAGGUGGAGCACGAUGGUUCCUGUAUACAAGAACAAGGGUGAUAUCCAAAAUUGCAACAACUAUCGGGUUAUCAAGCUGCUUAGCCUAACUAUGAAAGUAUGGGAGAAAGUGGUAGAGCUAAGGGUAAGGAGAAGUGUGUCUAUUUCCGAGAAUCAGUUUGGGUUUAUGCCGGGACGUUCGACUACAUAAGCCAUCCACCUUCUUAGGAGAUUGAUGGAGCAGUAUAGGGAGAGAAAGAAGGACUUGCAUAUGGUGUUCAUCGACUUAGAAAAUGCGUACGAUAAAGUACCGAGGGAGGUUUUGUGGAGAUGUUUGUGGGCUAGAGGUGUACCUGUUGCCUACAUUAGGUUGAUUAAGGACAUAUAUGAUGGAGUAAAGACUCGAGUGAGGAGGGUGGUUGAGGACUCGGACCAUUUUCCGGUUAUGAAGGGGUUGCAUCAGGGGUUGGCACUCAGCCCUUUUUUGUUUGCUCUGGUGAUGGACGUACUGACAGCACAUCCAAGAGGAGGUGCCGUGGUGCAUGCUAUUUGCAGAUGAUAUUGUACUGAUUGACGAGACGCGAGACGGUGUGAACGCGCAAUUAGAGGUAUGGAGGCAGAUCCUGGAAUCUAAAGGCUUCAAAUUGAGCAGGACCAAGACAGAACACUUGGAGUGUAAGUUCAGUGGCGAGACUCAAGGAGGAGAAGGGGAAGUGAGGCUGGACUCGCAGGUCAUCUCUAGGAGAGAGAGUUUUAAGUACCUUUGAUCUAUUAUUCAGGGGAUGAGGAGAUUGAUAAAGAUGUCACACAUCGUAUUGGGGCGGGAUGGAUGAAAUGGAGACUCGCUUCUGGUGUUGUGUGAUAAGAAGGUACCACCGAAACUUAAGGGUAAGUUCUACAGAGUGGUGGUUAGACCAACGAUGUUGUAUGGGGCUAAGUGUCGGCCAGUCAAGAUCGCUCAUGUCUAGAAUAUGAAGGUAGCAGAGAUGAGGAUGUUGAGAUGGAUCUGCGGUCACACCAGGUUAGCUAAGAUCAGAAAUGAGGUUAUUCGCAACAAGGUGGGUGUGGCCCCUAUUGAGAACAAGNNNNNNNNNNNNNNNNNNNNNNNNNNNNNNNNNNNNNNNNNNNNNNNNNNNNNNNNNNNNNNNNNNNNNNNNNNNNNNNNNNNNNNNNNNNNNNNNNNNNNNNNNNNNNNNNNNNNNNNNNNNNNNNNNNNNNNNNNNNNNNNNNNNNNNNNNNNNNNNNNNNNNNNNNNNNNNNNNNNNNNNNNNNNNNNNNNNNNNNNNNNNNNNNNNNNNNNNNNNNNNNNNNNNNNNNNNNNNNNNNNNNNNNNNNNNNNNNNNNNNNNNNNNNNNNNNNNNNNNNNNNNNNNNNNNNNNNNNNNNNNNNNNNNNNNNNNNNNNNNNNNNNNNNNNNNNNNNNNNNNNNNNNNNNNNNNNNNNNNNNNNNNNNNNNNNNNNNNNNNNNNNNNNNNNNNNNNNNNNNNNNNNNNNNNNNNNNNNNNNNNNNNNNNNNNNNNNNNNNNNNNNNNNNNNNNNNNNNNNNNNNNNNNNNNNNNNNNNNNNNNNNNNNNNNNNNNNNNNNNNNNNNNNNNNNNNNNNNNNNNNNNNNNNNNNNNNNNNNNNNNNNNNNNNNNNNNNNNNNNNNNNNNNNNNNNNNNNNNNNNNNNNNNNNNNNNNNNNNNNNNNNNNNNNNNNNNNNNNNNNNNNNNNNNNNNNNNNNNNNNNNNNNNNNNNNNNNNNNNNNNNNNNNNNNNNNNNNNNNNNNNNNNNNNNNNNNNNNNNNNNNNNNNNNNNNNNNNNNNNNNNNNNNNNNNNNNNNNNNNNNNNNNNNNNNNNNNNNNNNNNNNNNNNNNNNNNNNNNNNNNNNNNNNNNNNNNNNNNNNNNNNNNNNNNNNNNNNNNNNNNNNNNNNNNNNNNNNNNNNNNNNNNNNNNNNNNNNNNNNNNNNNNNNNNNNNNNNNNNNNNNNNNNNNNNNNNNNNNNNNNNNNNNNNNNNNNNNNNNNNNNNNNNNNNNNNNNNNNNNNNNNNNNNNNNNNNNNNNNNNNNNNNNNNNNNNNNNNNNNNNNNNNNNNNNNNNNNNNNNNNNNNNNNNNNNNNNNNNNNNNNNNNNNNNNNNGAAGAGGUCGGGAGAGGUGAUUAGGCAAGACAUGGCGCAACUUUAACUGACCGAGGACAUGACCCUUGAUAGGAAGGUAUGGAGGUCGAGGAUUAAGGUAGUAGAGUAGGUGACUAGAGUGUUCAUAACAGUAGUAUUGGCACGCAGUCUUACUUUUUGUUGGCAGUGGGUUUUUAUGACUAACCGUUGUUUCUUUAAUUGUUGAUCACAUUACUGUACGUCUUGUUAUUUUUAUUCUGCUUUUAUAUGGCUUUUUGGUACUGCCCCUCCUUGUCUAUAUUUUCAUUAAUGUGGUGCUUAUGCUUUCCUGAGCCGAGGGUCUAUUGGAAACAACCUCUCUAUCCUCACAAGGUAGGGGUAAGGUCUGCGUACACACUACCCUCCCCAGACCCUACAGUGUGGGAUAAUACUGGGUAUAUUAUUGUUGUUGUUGUAAUAAGAUACUCGGAAAUUCACCAUACAUGAACAACUGAAAUACACAUACACCUAUGUACCUCCAGGCAGAGUCACCACUAAUCGCUACAUGAGCAAACUCCAUUCUGAAAGUGAUGAUAGCGAUUUGUAUCCCUAACAACAAUCAGACGUUGCAUGAUCUUGGAGAUAAGUUUCGCAGCAAUGUGGCAAUCUCCACAUACACAUAGACUCUUAGUAAUUCUAAUAGAUGUACCUGGGGCGGAAUUCAUAAUUGCAAAGACAAUAGCAAGCUACUAGAUGAUUUUCUUUAUCUUCCUCCUCAACGUCGUGAAGGGCAGCAUCUAUUUCUGGAACAUAUCCUUCCUCUUUCAUCUUGCCUAUUAGUAUGUCUAACUCUUCAUAGAUCUCCUUCGAUUGUGGAUGAGACGUGUCACCAGCAAGAAAGGUGUGUACCAAGUGAUUGAGCUCAACAUUGCUGACACAGGGCAUUUUCUUAAUCCCUCUACCGUUCAUGAUUGACCUAAUAGUCGUCAUAUCUUGCCAUCUUCCAGCCUUCACAUAAAUAUUUGAUAGCAACACAUAAUAACCAGACUGCUUUGGGGACAAUCCAAAAAGAUUGUCUGCAGCUACAAGACCAAUGUCCAUAUCAUUGUGCAACCGACAGGCACCCCCCAGAUUCUCUCAUUAGCUUCCAUAGGCAUCUGCUAGAGGAAAUUGUAGGCCUCAUUUAUGCGUCCAGCACGUCCUUUUAAAUCAACCAUGCAGGCAUAAUGUUCUAACCUCGGCACAAUCUUGUACUUGUCUGUCAUUAGCCUGUAAUAGUACUCUCCUUCUUAUAGCAAUCCUACAUGGCUGCAAGCGGAAAGAACGGAAACAAAAGCAAUAGAAUCAGGUUGAAGACCAGACUCCAACAUUUUUGAAAACAAAGCAACUCCAUCCCGGCCUUGGCCACUCUUACCAUAAGCAGAUAUCAAGGAAGUCCAUGACACAACAUCCUGAAACUUCAUCCCCUCAGACAUUUUCCUUGCCUCUGUCAAGCAUCCACACCAGACAUAUGUUGGAAACAAUAUUGGAUAUGGAGAAUAAGAUUUAGCUUGAGGCGUGUCAAGGACAGUGUCCUUAAGGAUAUUUCGCCCACACCGUGAUAAAUAUUAUUAAGCGUAUUCCCCAGGAUUCAACAAGCUCUUCUAGUAUAACUAGGAGCAGAAACAACAAAGAUUGUAUAAAAGAAAAGUCAGCACAAAAAAUAUAUAUAGAGAGAGAGCAAAAGGUUUUACUCUUAGUUUUUUUUCCUUUCAAAGCAAAAGGAACUUGGGAUUUUAUAGAUAAGAAAAUAACCAUCCUUGCUGAAAUGCUCCAACGUCUAUAGCAUAGAAAGAUUAAAGAAUUAAUGAGAAUGACUGUUACAAAACAAAGCUUACGGUUUUGUAACUUUCAAAGCAACGGAAAAUGAUAAUUUGAACAAACAAAUUCAAAACCAUUAAUAGCUAAUCAUAGAUGAUUUGGUAUGAAUGCUACUAAAAAGUCAGUUAUAAUAUUAUAAUAAUGGCUAUUAAUCAUGGGUAGUAAAGGAUAAUGUAUUUGUUGCAAUUUAUUUUUGAGAUAAAAGAAUUAUUUUCUAACAAUCCCCCAUAUAUCUCAAAAAUAAUUUUAAUGAAUAGAACGAAAUAAGAAGUUUCGCUGGGUUUUCACAAAAUGAGCAUAAUGCGUCGAAUCUGGUGUCACUUGGACUAUGAACCAGACCUAGAUAAAAUAAAAUUAAACUUAUAGAACAAAUGGUGAAGUUUAGAACUUCUAUGAACCAAGAAUUCUUUUGUAAGUUUAGUGUCUUAUCUAUCACAUUAUACCCGCACACACUUUGUUGUUUGUCACGGUUUUGCGCUAAUAGGCCAUGCGCGCACCUGGUUUUCAUGAGUGCUCUAGAAAUAUUUUGCCAUAAAUUGCAUAGGAGCGGCCCCACUCCAUACUCAUAUAGGUCCAUCCAUCAAGUGUACUCUGCAGCACAAUACACCACCUAUAAAAGGCUAUGGAUUAGAUUAAGACUUUAAUAACUCAGCCUCUCAUUCCUUGCAGUCUAGCACUAUAUACACACACCAUAGGAAGGGACAAAAUUUAAUAUUGCAUAUUUAAUCAACUUAUUACUUGUUAUUACCCAUAUGAACCUAAUUCAUGGGAUCUCGAAUCACAUAGGUUGGGUUACCAUCACUGUUGAUAUAACUCAAAUUGGCAAUAGUUACAUUCCCUUCGAUGUUUCAGAUAUUAAUUUUCUUCCCAAAGGUUUAGUCAGAGGAUCGGCCAAAUUCACUUCUGACUUCACAUAAUCUAUGGAUAUAAUUCCAUCUCUCAGCAGCUGCUUUAUCAUAUUAUGUCUCAAUCGGAUGUCUACUCUUCCCAUUGAAGGAUUUAUUUUUAGCAAUGGCUAUUGCAGCUUGGCAAUCACAAUGCAUCGACACAGAAGGUGUCGGUUUUAUUCCUAGUGGAAUACUUCCCAAAAGGUUCUUUAACCACUCGGCUUCAUUGCCAGCCAAUUCCAAUGCCACAAACUCAGAUUCCAUGGUAGAUCUAGCUAUUAUUGUUUGUUUAGUUGAUUUCCAUGCCACAACACCCCCACCAAGGGUGAACACAUAACCACUAGUGGAUUUUGUCUCAUCUGAAUCAGAGAUCCAGUUAGCAUUACUGUAUCCUUCUAGUACAGUGGGAAAUCCACUAUAUUAAUACCAUAGUUCAUGGUACCUCUCAAAUAUUUCAUUACUCUUACUAAUGCAUUCCAAUGAUCAUGACCCGGGUUUUGUGUAUAUCUACUUAAUCUACACACAGCAUAAGCAAUAUCAGGUCUAGUAAAUUCAUCAAAUGCAUUAGACUACCAAUAACUUGAGCAUAUUUAUUUUGAUCUACAACAUCUCCUUUAUUCUUUUUUAAUUGACUACUAGCAUCAUAAGGAGUGCUUACAGGUACCACAUCAAAACAAUCAAUUUUUUUAAGAAUUCUUUCAACAUAAUGUUCUUGAGUCAACAUCAAGCUAUUGCCUCUUAUAAUUUUCAUGUCUAAAAUAACACUAGCUUCUCCCAUGUCUUUCAUCUCAAAAUUAGAACACAAGGUUUUAUGUACCAAAUCAAGACUGGAACUAAAAAUAAGCAUGUCAUCCACAUAAAGACAAAUAAUAACACAUGUACCAUCUACAUAUUUUGUAUAAACACAUUUAUCUACUUCAAUUGAUGAAAAAACCAUCAUUAAUCAAUACUUGAUCAAAUUUUUCAUGCCACUGUUUAGGUGCUUGCUUUAGACCAUACAAAGAUUUUAGCAAUUUACAUACUUUGUUUUCUUGGCCAGACACUAUACAACCCUCAAGUUGCUCCAUGUAAAUUUUCUCUUNNNNNNNNNNNNNNNNNNNNNNNNNUGCUUUUGAGUAAAACCUUUUGCAACAAGUCUAGCUUUGUAUUUAUCAAUAGAACCAUCUGGAUUGAGUUUCUUCUUAAAAACAUUUUCCAAUGGAUGCUUGAAAACAAAGCAACUCCAUCUCGGCCUUGGCCACUCUUACCAUAAGCAGAUAUCAAGGAAGUCCAUGACACAACAUCCCGAAACUUCAUCCCCUCAAACAUUUUCCUUGCCUCUGUCAAGCAUCCGCACCAGACAUAUGUUGGAAAAAAUAUUGGAUAUGGAGAAUAAGAUUUAGCUUGAGGCGUGUCAAGGAUACUGUCCUUAAGGAUAUUUUGCCCAUACCGUGAUAAAUAUUAUUAGGCGUAUCCCCAUGAUUCAACAAGCUCUUCUAGUAUAACUCGGAGCAGAAACAACAAAUAUCGUAUAAAAAAAAAUCCAACACAAAAAAUAUAUAGAGAGAGAGUAGAAGUUUUUACUCUUAGUUUUUUUUUCCUUUCAAAGCAAAAGGAACUUGGGAUUUUAUAGAUAAGAAAAUAACCAUCCUUGCUGAAAUGCUCCAAAGUCUAUAGCAUUGAAAGAUUAAAGAAUUAAUGCGAAUGACUGUUACAAAACAAAGCUUACGGGUUUGUAACUUUCAAAGCAACGGAUAAUGAUAAUUUGAACAAACAAAUUCAAAACCAUUAAUAGCUUAUCAUAGAUGAUUUGGUAUGGAUGCUAAUAAAAAGUCAGUUAUAAUAUUAUAAUAAUGGCUAUUAAUCAUGGGUAGUAAAGUAUAAUGUAUCUGUUGCAAUUUAUUUUUGAGAUAAAAGAAUUAUUUUCUAACAUACAUAUCAACGAAGGAGUUCUCAAGAGAUAAAUUUGGCCUAAGACCUUCUCUCUCAACAGAUUCAUGAAUCCUCCUUCCCAACGAUGCAGCUGAAAGGUCCCCCACAAGCAGGAAGAAUGCUAGCAAAAGUUAUAACGUCAGGCUCUAUUCCACAAGUUUCCAUUUGGAGAUAGAGCUCAACCACCUCAUUAGGCAUAGAAUUCUUGACAUAAUAGCUAUCAUCACAUUCCAUUGAACCAAAUCCUUUUUAUCCAUAUUCAUCAUUCAUGAAAAUAUAUUUGUCGAACGAGACAUUCUCAAUGAUGGUAUUGCUAACAGCAGGUAAAAGGCUAGACAUGGUUCCCACGUUUGGUUCCAUACCUAGAAAGUUCAUUUCCUUACAAACCUCUAAAGCAUCAUCAAACCUUCCAUUUUGAGCAUAUCCAGCAACCAUUGAGUUCCAAGAAACAACGUCCUGUUUGGGCAUUUCAUUAAGAACCUGACGAGCCUCCACUAGAUAUCCACAUUUCCUAUACAUGACCACAAGGCAAUUCCCAAUAAAUAGGUUAGAAUCGAGACCCCUCUUGCUAAUAGUAUCGUGAAUCUGCAGCCCGGCCCUCAAAUUAUUGGAGCCAAAACAAGCUUUAAGAACACAGGGAAAUGUAUAGUGAUCAGGGCUAACAUCUCGUUUAGUCAUAUCAUUAUAAAUAAAAAUAGCAUCUUGAUAGAACUUGUUAUUCACGUAGCUCCUGAUCAUGACAUUAUAAACUGCCACGUCCCUGUCAGGUAUUUUGUCGAACAGUUGGCGAAUCACAUCAGGUUGGCCACAAGUGGCAAAAGCACGCAUCAAUUUGAUGGCAAGAGACGUGUUGCAACAUAGACCCGGAUCGAGAAUGAUCUUGGAAUGUAGUUUUUUCAGUGUUUUGAUAUCUGGGGGUCGGUCCAAUAUAUGACUGGAGGAAACUUCGUCUAAAUGGAAAGUGUAGCACUGCUGGGGGGGGGGGAGGGGAUUCAGUGUGUGUAUAUAUGGAUUGGCAGUUGAAUAAUGGCGGAAAAGGCGAAGGGGGCUUGCAAUCGGUGACAUGAAAUAUCAGAGUACAACUUUCUUGAAGAUUGUUCACGUUCACAUAGCUCAGUCAUGGGGAAUCCAUGAAUCCUGCAUAGAAUUGCCUUCUAGUUUAAAGUGGACGACUAAGGAAGAGAGGGAAACAGUUCCAUUUGGGCCCUAUAAACAUUUCUCCCUCCACGGGAAGAAAUAUUGAGGGAAAUUUUGAAAGAAGAAACUAAUUUAUAUUCCACCUGUAUGCACUCCAUGUCCUGAAUAGAAUGCCGGUUAUCUCUUAUCAAUGUUUAGCUUGACCAGUAUUGGAAAUGAAUUUAGAAGGGGAAAAAAUGUAAAUUCUUUUUCCAAAAUUAAUUUUAAAAUGUUUAAAAAGAUUAAAUAAAAUAAAAGUACAAUAGGAUGCAAGACUUUGACGAAAUAAGCACUUGCCACUUGACAAAAUAGUGGGGUAUUAAAAAGAUACAUAAGGUGUUUACAAAGUUGUUGUGUAUUUAGGGGUAUGUAAAAGGAAAAUCAAAGGAAAGUAUGUAUUAAGCUUUUUGAAAUUAAACUAUUUCUGGAUGCUCUGAGUAAUCUCUCUCUAACGAUGGAUUUGUUUUCCAGAACCCCUAUUAUUCUAGUAACUUAAACAAAUAAGAGAAUCAUUUUACCUUGUUUUUCCUAUUUCUACUUUAGCUUCUCUACUUUCCAAACAAAGCAAGGAAAAAUUAUCACUUCUUUUGUGGGUUUACCACAUCAGAGUAUUAUUACAUGUUGAGUGAAAACAUGCUUAUCGACAUCUUGCUGUGUACAUAUGGUUUAUGUGCCCUAUCCUCACCGUAUGAAAGGAAAUCAGUGAUAUCAGUUGCAUUUUAGUUGGCUGUCAGUUAUGACAACUAACCCUGCUCAAUUUCUACAUUAAUUGAGGAAAACCAGUUUUUGUUAUUAACAUUUUCCUGUCAGUGCAGGAAAUGUUUUCUAUAUCUACAAAAUAAUUCAACAAAGUAAAUAACAUGCUUCGCUUUUCUCUCUAAUUAGAGACAACAUGCUUCACUCGCUACAACAGUAUUCCUCUAAUGAGAAUCAUAGCUAAAAUACUGGUGCAACUUGUCAUCAUCAAUCCUGAAAGAGAGCCUUGGAAACAGAAGAAGAGCUCUGUUUUAGCUUUUCAUCCUCAUCACCAGCAUUUUGAGAGAAUGACCAGUUCUUUCCACUCAUUGGUGUCUCAUAUACUACACUUCCGUAACCUCUUUUCCGCUCUUUCCUCUUCAGUUCCUUCUGCUCUUCACACUUUGUUUUUACAACAUUAAGCUGCUUCGGGGCCCAAACUCUUUGCAGAUCUGGCAUCCUUGUGAAAGAUCCAAAUCGUCGAGCCUUCUCUCUCCUAUCACGAGCUUCACUUAACUUGCGGGCAUGAUCCCCCACUUUAAUCCCUUGGGAGCUCUCACCAACAUCUUCUGGUGGUUGGCAAGACUCAUUCUCUGCUGAUCGCGUGUAGUUGGCUUCAGCCGUUUCAUAUCUAUCUUGUUUAUCCCUCCAAGACUGAUUACUGUCCUCACUGUUGAAUAGAAGGGACUGUUUUUCAUCUUCAUCACCAAAUGGAAGUAGAUCCAUUUGUGUGUAGAUUCUAUUCACAACAUCUUCGAGAAUGUCCUUGUACCUGAAUCAUGUGGGGAUUUCUAUGUUAUAUUUCAGGUAACAGUACUGCCAGGGCGCUGCAUGAGUUUCUUAUCUAUGAAGAGCAAACAAGAGCCAGUUCUAAUAAUAACAGCGCGAUUGGUUUAAACUCUGAUGGCAAAGUCAAUGAAACUUGUACACUGUAAUUCAUGAACUAGGUACUGAUGUUAAGCAAUGGAGUUACCUGAGAAGUUCAGUGUAACAGACUUUCGUUUUAUAGUAAAUGAAAAGCUGAUCAUCCUGUAGUAAAUUUACACUUAACAUGGUUUUGCUUAAAACCAGACAGGAAAAUCCCUAAUAGGUAAAGUAGGAUUACAAAGUAGAAGACUAAUUAAAGUUUCUUAAGAAGAAUGAAAGUUCUAAAAAUGAGAAAAGUUCAUGAAACAGAAUGGUAAUGUAGUCAAAUAACAGCUAGAGCACGAUGAUGAUAUCAAAAUAGUACUUUGAUGGUCUAUAGAGCUAUAGUAGGUUUAAUCUUGAAAAUUAUCAACUUAUCUUGAUAGGAUAAAGCAAGGAAACAAGGGGAAAAAAUUAUUGGGGUUGGUGAAAUAAGAGGAUCGAGAGGACAAAAGUGACCUACUUCUCAUCCUGAAUUCUAGUCAGGACAAAUACCAAAAAGGGAAUACAGAAAUGAAACUUGCCGUGAGACAUGAAUCAGAUCGUCAUAACUAUAGAGAAAAACAACCUCUUUAUUUCAAAGCAAAAUAUUUACCGUGUCCUAAUAUUGCGUUCAACAUAAUCAUAGAGACUAACACGACCAUGAAUCCCUCCUUCAACAAGGUAUUGAAUGAUCUCUAAAAAGGAGCAGAUCUCUUUAACAAGCCUCUGCUUCGAUGACUCCUUAAUACUCUCCGAAAAGGUUGAUCGAAGGAUUUCCAUCCGAAGCAAUAUCUGCAAUUCAAAUCUUAUGCACAUUAAGGAAAAUGCACUAAAGUACAAUAUUAAUUCCUUUACUUGAUAAAGCUGAAUUUAAGAUGUAAUAAUUCAAAAACUAGUGCUAAAAGAAACUAAUGAAAGGAUACUCUCGAACAAUACUUUCCGAGGUUGAACUGAAAUCAGAUACUUCAGAGGAGGGAUCCUCAUGUUUCAGCUUCUCUUUCAUUUCUUUGGGCUUUCUUAGCAGGAACUUCAUAAGUUCAGGAAGGGCACUUUUGGCACAUGAAUCACUUGCUUUCGGAAUUCGAGAUUGGCCUCCUAUAGUGUCAUCUGUCUCAUACUUCUUAGAUAAUGCAUGUACUGAUGACUUCACUAGUCGCUCUGCUAAAGUGUGCAAGUCUCUUCCAGAUUGUAGACCAUGCUGGAUUUUCUUUCGUAGAUUAGUGAAGAAGGCUUCUGCAGUUUCUGAGUAUACCAGAGGUGCAUCUCCCUCCAGCAUGAGGGUUGAAUCAGAGGGAAAAUAUAUAGACGGUGGCUGUUCCAGUUGUAUUUUACAUGAAUCUGCAGCUGUUAGCAAGCAGGUGCUGGUCUUCUUGAUCUGUUUCAUCCAGCACUUCAAGAAUUUCAGCUUCUUUGAUUUCUCAAUUUGUCUGGCAAAACAAAGCUCUACCAACUCAAAAUCAUUACACUCAAAUGCUGCCUUGAGGAAUGAACUCAAAGUCAAAUCCCGGGUUGAAGACUUCUUAUUCUUUUCUCUUUUCCCGACCCCUAGUGAUUCACAAUUAGCAGAUGUUGAAGACUCGGUUUGGGAGCCAAUCAACCCGUGAGAGUCGUUGAUUUCAUUAGAGCUUCCACAGAUCCUGUCAUUCAUCUGUUUUGAGUUUGAUCCACAAUUAGCUUCUUCUAUGCUUGAAAGAAGAGCCAAUUGCGCUGUCAAAGGCCUGAGGACACCCGUUAUUGUAUUUCCGUUGCUACUAGAUAGAGUUACUAAAACCCAAUAGCUUUCUUUAUACAAAAAACUGAGAAGAAUUUUCCACAUGACUGUGGAAUUUCCUGGGGCAUGCUGACCCUUCACUCCAAAUAGUACAUCAAGGACUCCAUCAACGAAAGUAUCGCUACAGUAUUUAGUUUUGCAUCUGGUUGACUCCUGCACUAAAACAUAACUAGACGAGCAUCCUUCAAUUUUUUCCCCUACAUUGUACUUCUUCACAGCCUUGAGAUGCAUCUUUACUGAACCUUCACCAAGACAAGACCAAAACAAUUCUUCUCGAUCACACCCUUCAUUUCGCUUGUCUCCAAAACCUAGUGUAUUCAGAAUAUCUUCAGAUCUAAGCCUGGGUAACGUCGUGAAAUUGAGCAAUUCGAGAUCACAAAACUUGCAUUCCAAAGGCUUCCCAUUGACAUCAAGGAUCUCAAGAUUCAGUUGCGCAGAACUUCUAUCAGAUGAACCAAUGCUUUUCAUAAAAUCAAAUGAGGCCCCAAUUUCAGGAUAUAUCAAUCCAAAUGGAAUCAGAGCGGAACCUAAAACAACGGAAUUAGUUGAACUAAUCCCCCAGCCCAAAUUUCUAAUUCCACUCUCCAACAUGGACGACCAUUCACCUUCAUCAACAAAUUCAACCUUCUCUCCCUCCUUUUUUAAAUCAUUCACGCCGAUCCAACUAAAAUGAAUACUUCUAUUAUAGAAAGAGUUCCUCACAAGACCAAAAAUUUCAUUGAAUUUGACCAUAAAACCUUCGAAAUCCUUAAAAAUUUCAGAAUUCACAUUCACAUUCAUAUACUCAGCUAAAUUACUCAAGGAUCUACAAAUAGGCGAAAACAAAAUAACCAAAUUUCGAUAUAUCUUAGGAAUCUCACCAGUUAACUUACCUGGAGGACUCUCAAUUUCAGACUCCCAAGCAUAAUCAUUUACUAGCUGGAGAAGAGAACCGGAAGUGUGACAAGCCCUACGAUAAUUUGCCUCUAAUUCGAUUGGCAGCAGCGAGAGGGAAUUUAGGAUUUCAGUGAUGGAAUUUAGGGUUUGAGACGGGUGGUUGAAAGCGAGGGAAGCGACGGAGAGGUUCGGGAACAAGCGAUUAACGGCGGAGGAGGAACGGAGAGGGGAAAGUGAGGAGAAGAAAAGUUUGAAAGCGAAAAGCGAGUUGGAGAGAGAUGGGAAAGUGAGGAGGCGCGUGGAGGUCACGAGAAUGGAGGUGAGGUAGUGGUUGCUAGGGUUUUGAAGAGUGAGAAGUGGGUGCAGAUCUAUGAGGAGCACUAUCCUUUGGGUUUUCGAGUAGUCUACAGGUUCCGCCAUUGAUGCAAAUGCAGAGUACUAACUUGCGCCGUGUGUGUAACGGAGGGGCGUAUCUCUAUACCAAUGGUUACAGUUUUAAUUCUCCGGCGGAGUUAACAUGUGCCGGCAAAUUUUUCUGGCUCCACCGCCGAUCUCUCUCUCCGUUGGGUUUUUGAUUGCAGAGACGACAGUAGUCUAACAUGCGCGGCAGGUGUUCGAAUGUUCGAGAGGACUGUGGAGUUAGAACUUGGUCGAGACUGUUCUGGCGGGAAAUGGAAGUGGCGGGAAUUAUUUGGUUUUCAAAGAAAAGAAAUGAUUGCUAAAUUGCGCAGCGACCUCAACCACGUGAUGAGAAUAUACCCAUGUGACAGCCCCAUUACAGUAUAUUGAUAAUCAACGUAAAAAUACGCAAAAUCUUCAUAAAUUCUUAGAAUGUAAUGAUUGAAGUGUGAGCAUAUUACUGAUUUAAAAUCAAAUAUUGUUAAGAAAUAAAUUUUACUCUUAAUUUAGCUUAUAAGGUUAGUUAAUAAGAUGAAUAUUGUUCAAAGUCAUAUAACGAGGCAAUAGUUUAUUAAUUCAAUAAAUUUUAGGAUUCUAACACCUCCCAUUGACUAGAAUUUGAAGCAUAAAUAAUAUAACAUGAGCUGUAAUAUUACGUAAAAAAAAUUAAAAAUAUUAAUAAAUAAAAUUUAUGCCGAACUCAACCUAAAAAUUAGGUCAAUAGAUGACAAUUGCUCAAAAUCGUAAAAGAAGGCAAUUGUUUAUUCUAUCAAUUAAUGUAAAAUUUUAACAAAUGAGAAAUUAUUUUUAAACUUAACAAAACAUAAUAUACAAAGAAUCAAUAAUUUGUAUACCAAACUAAUUUGAAUUAAAUCAGUUUCUCACUUUGGUUCAAGUUUAAUGGUUAGCUAACCGUUAUUUAUCGUUUAGUAUUUAAAUGAAAUCAACUUAAAUAGUACGAAAUGAAUAUAAAAUAGACUUAAAAAUUGCAGCAAUUUCAAUUCUUGAAGUUUUAAAAAUUGUAUCGAAAUAGAACGUAGCAAAUGAUAUCAAAUAUUUUAUAAUGAUAACGUAGAAUAAUUCCAUGGUAUAGUGUCAGUGUGGGUUGAAAUGCACAAAUACGACGUCGUUGAAUCCUAUCUUCAUCUCCGGAACAUUGAGAUGAUUCUGAAACGUAAAAUUCAACACCUUAACCACAUAGGCGGAAGCAGUGUAAUAGAGGAAUAGAACACAAAUGGCGACCAUUUCUACUGCAUCGCUUAGCACGGACAGAUUAUUAUCAUUAUCUAUAGUUUCUCCACCACCUUCAAAUUUUUCAAGAUUCUUUCUUCCAAGUCCUUUACUUUUCUCCAAAUUCCGUUCACGUCCCUCUCCUCUUACUUCAUCUUCACCGUCAAGGACAACGGUGGCAUGUUCCAAGUCUUCCGAAGAAGCAGAAGUGUCACAGACAGUGGACGAAUGGCUUCAGAAACUGCCCGAUAAGAAGAAGGCUUUGUACUCUCAUAGUUUGCCCUGCAUAGAAGCUUGGUUGAGGAGUUUGGGGUUUUAUCAGAGUAGAGAUGAUAGAGCACUUUGGUUUGUUGAAAAGCCAGAUUGGCAUGCUCACUUGUCACUUGAUAUCACUGACCUCUAUAUAAGGUUAGUAUUUAGUAUUCCCUCCGUUCCACUUUGUUUGGCACUAUUUCCUACUUACUAAUCCCUUCCAAAAAGAAUGACACAUUUUAAAAUUUCCUUAAUGAGAAGUUGUUAUAGCCACACGACUGUUAUGGCAUAUUUAGAUCACAAUUUCAAAAGUCUUUAUUUAUUUUUUAAGCUUCGUGCCGAGUCACCAAACAAAUUGAAACGGACGGAGUAUCAUUUGAUGAACAGUUUAGGAUUAAAGGUCUUAUUCUUAAUAUGUUUACAUUAGUUUAAAGUUAGCUAUUUUAUGUGUUUCUUGUAUUAGAAUGAAAUGGACCUAAUUGGAGCAGAAUGUGUAUGGAGGAUUAGUAUGGUUGAAUUCAACUAUGGUUUAGUUGAUUGAGUGAUUGAUAGGAUGUUUCUCUGUUUUUAGGGUACUGGAACAAGAUUACAGUUUAUGGUGUGAAAUUCAUGAUCAAGAGGUUAACUUGAAAAGGGCUUAUUUAUUAAUAAGACAGUUUAUGACAAAGAUCAUAUUUUUAAUGUCUUGUUUGGUUAAAUUUAGCUACUUUACGCAUGUCAUGUGGAAUGAAAUGGGCCUAAUGGGAGAAGAAUGUGAAUGGAGGAUUCAUGUAGCCGAACCCAUCUAAGGCUUAGUUAAUUGAGUGAUGUAUACUAAUGUUUUGUGAUUCUAGGGUACUGGAACACGAAAGAGAUUACGGUGUGAAAUUCUUGAUGGAGAGGUUAACUUGAAAAAGGUCCAUUUAAUAAUAGGAUUGGGUCUUAUUAAUGUGGGUCAGUUGCUUUCUUAUCCGUCAGCUUGUGCUGUUUAUAACUAAAAGUUGGAGUUUGAAGAGGUUAAGUCUGCUUAGAUUUGGUUUUACCAAAAAGGGUUGUUUGGUUGAUUAGUCAUAGCUCAUAAGGAAAUUCCAUAUAUAGGCUAUACAUUUCGAAUUGCAAUCCAUUGUUAAGCGUAAAGUAUAUACAUUCGGGUUAUAUUUCAGAAAAGAAUUGUACAUAUACUGAAUAAUGAACCCACUUUUGAUAAGCAAGUCCAUUUUAGGUUCAUUGGGAACCAAAUGUAAUGCGUUUGAUUCUCUCUAAGAGCAUUCUUGAUCCAAGUCAAGCAGGUUCCCACUUUGGAGCCUACUUUUUAAGGAAAAUCAAGGGGGUUCAUUGAGAAUGAGAAGGGACGGUUCAGCGUUUGAUUCCUCCUAAAAGCAUCUUAACUCCGUUUUACUCUUCUUUUUCCGUAUCUUAAGUAGAGCUCUGAAACAUAUCUUUUUAAUAUUCAACGUGUUUUAGUAACCUAGAGUUUACUCAAGUAUAUUUGGUUUGGAUUAAGUUGAAAUCGUUGCCUUUAAGCUUUUAAUUUGGAAGUUAUAUUAGCUGUGUAGUUAAUAGAUUAUAAGUGAAAUUGUUACUACCCUAGAGUUUAUUUAAGAAGAUUUUUUUCAGAUCCAAAAUGCAAUUGUUUCGUAACUAGAGUUAAUUUACAUUAUUUAUUUGGUUAAAAUAAUUGCUUUUAAGUACUUUAGAUAUUUAUGUUAUGAUGUAGGUUUAGAUUAUUUAUGUAGUUUUAGAAUAACUGAUAUUACUACUUACCUAGAGUUGAUGUAAGUAUUUUUCAUUUAGAUAAUUAAGGAAAAUUUUGACUUACCAACACGGAGUUGAUCUAACUUAUGUAUAAAGUGAUUUUACUAUCAGAUUAAAAUACAUUGUUAGAGACAGAACUUUUAAGCUGAAAAAAAAAGUGCUACCACUAGAUGAUGUUAUCUUGAGGCUUUUUCAUGAAAAGGGAAAAAAUACAAUAUAUACCCAUUUAAUGUGCCAGUAUGGAUGGACCUCCUAUACUGUUGGCUUCAACUAUGGUUUUUGGUCAAAAUCCUGCAUACACCACAACAUGGUUUCCCUUACCCCCCCCCCCCCCCCCCCAUUUUUUUUUGAUUUUGUGUUCUCAAGGUGUUCAUGAUGCACAAUUUUGGAGAAUUUGAUUGGUUGUUGUUUCUGCUUCUGUGUUUAGAAAGAGAAUUUUUUUGAUAUGUUAUCUAUUGCUAUGUGUUAUGCCUUGCUUGUGGUGAGACCCUGAGGGGAAUAGAUAUGUCCUUUUGAUGUUACAAGUGUGACGCCAUCUUAGAAAGGAAAAAAAACUCCCGAUUGUGGCCUUUCAGUUGUUAAGUUCAUGAAAAAAAAGUCUGGCAGAUAUCUCUUUGAGUUGCCCCAGGCCUUUGGUCUGGUUGUAAGAGCUCAUUGAUGUGUGGGGUAAGGCGCAUGUUAUGAGUUUUUGAUUGCAUAGUUCAAAGAAUAUUGCAUCACCAGUUUGAACUUCGAUCCAAUACAGGCUGAAUGUUUCUUGAAACACAGGUAUCUAAAGAGUGGACCCGGUAAUCUUGAGAAAGAUGUAGAGAGAAGAUUCAGCUAUGCACUGAGUAGGGAAGAUAUUGAAAAUGCCAUACUUGGAGGUCCAUAAGGAUAAAGAUUUCACGUGCGGAUGUCAGUUACCUGCGGUGCUGUCCGUCUCAAUUCCAAGCAACUCUAAUGAUUAAUUUUUCCCAAUAACUCAUAUAGAUACAGAUACAGUGGGAUCUUAAAAUUUUUUAGGAGGGACUUUUUAGAGAGAGAUUGUGGGGUUGGAUUAAGUUUGUGUCAUGAUAAUUUAUAGAAACAUUAUUCACUUUCAUAAAUUACCUGGCUGAUGCUCAUCCACUUCUUUUGAUGUUUGUCGUUCAGAAUAUAAUUGAUUAGAACAGGAUUUUAGGCUAGUUCGCAUACUGUUGGUAGACAACUAUUCAUAUGGUUGGAACUCAGGGGUUCUUUUCUUCCUCUUUCUUAUGGUUUUAUAAGUUGGUUCUCCCACUUAAUUGUAGAGUUCCUCUAUGCUAUUUUAACGAACCAGUGAAAGCUUUGCCAGAAAGUGUUUUUCUUUUUUUCACUUCAAAGUUCGAAGAUCAAAGUUGGUCUACUGAUACAAGUGGUAAGACCGAUAAAUCAGCAUCCAAGACCUGGCUGAUGACUACUUCCAAUUCAGGUUGCAUCUAUAGUAGCUUAUGAAGUUGUUUGGAUCACCAUUCCUAUUCUCGUUACUAAAGCAGGUUUUAGUAUGAAUAGCAUUGUUACAGAGAACCAAAGACUUUUUUUCCAAGUGCUGAGAAAUUUACCGUUCCAUUGUUUUUCGGUACUGUCGUUUUCUGAUGCAGCACUGAAGUUUUACUGCCAAGUUUAGGCAAUCAUAUGCAGAAUCUUAUUAAAUAUUUUCAUUUUGCCAAACUCCGUUCAAACUGGUUGACAGCAAAACUGGUCCUAUAGAGGAUGUAGUACAGAUUUUACCAAUAAAAUGUUUCUCGUCACCUAGUAUUACUAGUUCACUCACGAGGAAUCUCCUUCCUUUCAACCAAUUGACUAUGACAUUGCUAGCCCUUCAUCCUUAAUGAUGAUGGAGAAAUGCUACGGCUUAUUAGUUGACAAUAGUAGCAUAACUGUGUCAUGUCAUUUUGAGAAUUCUUUAUCUGGAAAUAAGGAAGAGAAACAAGACCAUUUUGUGUGCCUAUAACACAAAGUCUGAAGUUUGCUGAGGUAGCAAAGAACUUCAUUUAUACUGGUGGAAGAUAUACAUCUGUGAACAUAGACAUAAAUUACAGUUAUACGGGCUCACUACCUCCCAAGCUGCACUGGCAUGUUAAACAAUAGAAUUCGGAGCACUAGCUCUUUUACUUCUUUAAUACCCCACAUUCCUAUGUAUUCCAGAUUCCUAAUCUUCACAUGCUCAUGAAAAACAGAUGGCGGCUUGUUGGGACAUCCAUAGCAUUUGCAACUACAUGGGCUGUAUGUGUUAGGCCAAAAAAGAUUAUUGCAAAUACGCAGUUAUCUUCAAUGAGAUUCCGCUGACUGAUAAUGAGACCAAUACUCCUUCACAAGCUGCCCGAAGAGCGAACCUUCGUUCUUCAUUAGCUUCAUUGGUUCAUCAUACUCAACUAGCUUCCCUGUAUUCACCACCAAAGUUAAAAGUCAUUACAGCUAAAACAUACUCAUAGUAGUGUUUCAAAGUAAACAAACAGGUCUUACCAUCGCUAAUGGCCAGAACCAUUGUACAAUCCAUUACUGUGGGUAUCCUAUGGGCAACAGUAAUAACAGUACUAUUAGCAAAUUCUGUCCUGAUAGUUUUCUGCAAUAUCAUAUCAGUGGCAUUGUCGAUUGAUGCAGUUGCUUCGUCAAGCACCAAAAUCUUGGCUUUCCUCAAAAGAGCACGUCCCAAACAGAACAAUUGUCGCUGCCCCAUGCUCCAGUUUGAUCCAUCUUCCACAACUGAAAAGACUAACACAGUUAAAAGAACCCCACUUGGAUAACACAAUCAGACAUGUUCUUAGAAAAGCUUACCCAAUGAGUCAAGCCCCUUCUCUUUUUCCUCAACUGCCUCUUUUAGCUGACACUUCCCAAGAACCUGUAUCAAUGAAGAUGAGAAUGAAAUCAAGAAAUUAGAUCACCUUUGGUACAAUGCACAUUCACCAUAAAAUUCGAAAAAGAUAAUGACCCAAUACAUAAUAAGUAAACGCAAAUUACCUCCCAUAUUUCCUCAUCAGUAUGCUGACAUAAGGGAUCUAAGUUGUAUCUUACUGUUCCAUUGAAGAGUGUAGGGUCCUGAGGUAUAAUCCCAAAUCGGGACCUUAGAUCAUGAAGACCGAUUUUAGAAAUGUCAAUUCCGUCUACCAAAAUCCUUCCACCUGCUGGCUCCACUAAUCGAAAUAGGGCACCGAUGAGAGUAGUCUUGCCACUGCCAGUCCGGCCAACAAUACCAAUUUUAUGACCUCCUUCAAAUGUACAAGUGAUCCCCCUAAGAACAAGCGGGGAAUCUUCCCUAUAUCUGAUCUGUUUUGGAGCACACUGAUCAGCAUCUUGAUCAGUUCUAAAUACAAGAAAAUUAGGUGAUGAGAAGAAAUUUACCUGUAAAUCUUGAAUUUCAACUUUACCCCUAGUUGGCCAAUUGACCGGUGGACGGUUUUCUUUAACAAUUUCAGGCGCUUCACUUGGAAUGUGCAUAUACUGGUUAAGUCUUUCUACAGAAAUAAUGUAGUUUGCUAGAGUGCACUGGUUUUGAAUGGAAAAAACAAGAGACAUGUUUAAGGAAAGACCAUAAGACAAAGCCAUCCCAAUAAAUCCUGCAAAAGAAUAAGAGGCUGUUAUCAGAAAAGCUCUUCUGUUUAAGCGAAAGGUUAAGAAACAAUAAUGUAGAGUUCUUUAUCAAAUCCCAAGAGUAAUAUUAGUUAAUGGCUUACCUGAGCUGAAAGUCCCCGGAGGAAGCAAAACCAUGCAAAGUGCCGAGGAUGCUAGAACAAUUGCACUAAUAGUUUCGAGUCGUUGUAUCAACCACUCAUUUGCUGCAAAAUUGUGGAAGAAAGGACUGGCAUUAAUAUCGAUUAGCUCAAAAGUCUUCAUGAAAAAUCUGUCUUCCUCUUUGAAUGCCCUUAUAGUCACAGAUCCGGCAAUAGAUUCAGCAAGAUGGUUGGCCACAAAUGAUUUGGUUGUACCAUUUAUCCGCAUCAACUCUUUGGCAGACGCAUAGUAGUAUUUCUGCCAAGAGUAAGAAAAAGUCAAGAAUCCAAUUUAUCAGCUACUGUUGGCACAUAAGAGAAUAGUGCUGCAGAGAAUUGAACUUUCAUAAUCCUCCAAUCCUUUUCAGAGAAUCUCUAAUUUAUUUGAAUUCCAGACUAUCAUAUAUUCAGACUAUGAGCGUAUAUGGAAAACGUUUAAUUAUAAAUCCUGUACUAUUUCCAUACAGGAAGCCGAUGGGCAAAGACAUGAAAUUCAAAAUUUAAUAUAUUGAAGGAUCUAUUGCCUGGAUGUUCUACAUAAUGAUUGAGUGUGUGUGUGUGUAUGUGCACGGGAUGUAUAAAGGUGCCGAGAUAAAUAAAACACCCAUCUCUUACCUGCAACUGAAUGGCAAGACAAACCAUUGGGAUGGAGAUAACCAGAACUUGCCAAGUGACAACGGCUAGCACUGUAAGAUUAGAAUAGAAGUUUGUGGUAGCUCCAAAGGCAAAAACCAAGUUGAAUGGAAUAUCAAGAUCAACUAUACUCAAAUCUGAUGAGACCUGCAUACAUGGGAGGUAGUGGAGAGAUGGCAAAUAUGGUUAGGUCCAUAAACAUCCUUAAUAUCAACGUUAUAGCUUAUUUUUCAAUGAUCACAUUUGAUGUAUUUACCCUGCUUAAAAUCCUUCCCAAAGGUGUAGAGUCAUAAAAUGACAUAGGAGCAUGGAAAAGAGAAUUUAAUAGCUGUGAGAACAAGGACUUUGAUGAUUGCAAACCCAAAAAAACCGUUGAUAGAGAUCUAGAGAGCAGAAACAGCGUUGAUACACCUCCAAUUAGCAAGUAAACUGUAAUCAGUCUCAAAGUGCUAACUUGUGGAUUAUCAACGUUUGCUGCCAUCCAGGAGUUCUGGGUUAUCUGACCAACCACAAACGUUAUGUGCGAGAUUACAGCCACAGCAAAGAAGAAGUACCCUUUGUUCUGAUUUAGAUACUGAACGUAAGGCUUAAAUCCAGUGUCUCCCACUUCUCUCUCUUCUUGCUUAAUCAACUGAUCACCUACAGAGGCUAUAGAUUUUUUGCCAGUAUCAGUUUUACGAAUUUCUCUUGUAUGAGAUUCUCGCCUUGAUGAAGAAUUAACCUCUGCAACCCUUUCUGAACCAGCUGUCUCUUUGUGUGCAUCAACCAAGUCCUGAAACUCUUUGCUCGAGGCCAAUAACUGAUGAUAUGGCGCUGCAUGUAAAAUUUCUCCAUCUGACAUUAACUGUGUAUAAAAGUAGACAUAUAUAAGGACACUUCUUGUAAAUAUUACCAAAGACUACUGUGAUUUUACAGAAAAUAUAUCAGGAGUUUGAGAGUUUACUUCCUUUUUUUUCUUUAAAAAAUAAAUGAUAAGAAGUCGAUUAGAAAGAGAAGUUCAUCAAGAAAAACUAACCAGAACCACAUCAAAUGCAGGAAGAAAAUCAACUUGGUGGGUCACAAGCAAGACGGUUUUCCCUGAGAGAGCUCCCAUGACAUAUUCCUGCAAAAGACCAGUUCAGACUUGAGCUUGCAAAUCAUAAUAAAUUAUAUGAAGCACAAUACUGUCAACAAAAUUUCUCACAUUGAACAGGCUACUAGCAGUAUGGGCAUCUACAGCACUGAAUGGAUCAUCCAACAGAUAUAUAUCAGCAUUUUGAUAUAAUGCACGAGCAAGUUGAAUGCGCUGCUUUUGACCACCACUAAGAUUAACUCCUCUUUCACCUAUUUCAGUGAGAUCACCAUAAGGAAGCAACUCAAGGUCUUUUAACAGUGAACACUUCUCCAAAGUUUGCUGGUAUCUCUGGCUAUUCAGUGGAGAACCAAACAAAAUAUUUUCUCGUAUUGACCCUGUCUGAAUCCACGCCGACUGAGAGACAUAAGCAAUUGUUCCAAAAACUUGAACCUGCAGAACACAGAGAAUCUAUAAUCAGUUGGGAGUACGGAAUUAUUUUCUUAGAUAUGCAUGAAGUGAAGUAAGCUAUGAAUGUGCCUGCAAUAAAAACUUCGAGAACCUACUUGUCAUUUCCUUCCAAGUAGGUUCCUUGGAAGGAAAACAGUAACUAACCAAUACAACUUACAGUUCCUUGGAUACUUGGAACCUCUCCAAGAAUUGCUGCCAAAAGAGUUGACUUUCCUGAGCCCACCUCCCCACAUAUAGCAAUCUUCUGACCUGGUCUAACCUCCAAAUUAAUAUUUCUCAGAGUAGGUCGAGAUGGAUUCUCUUCCCAUGAGAGAUUAGCUGAUUUCAUAAGUAUGGCAUGAUCAGGACUUCCAAAGUUGUGCUUCUGCCGAACAUUUGCAUUUUCCAGCUCUGGGGCCUCAAGGAACUUUACAAUCCUUGCAAAUGAGACCUUGGCUUGAAUCACCACGCCAAUAACAUCUGGAAUGGUUCUCACUGGAUCCUGAACCAGACGUAAAGUUGCUACAAAGGUGAAAACGUUGCUUGCGUACAGUGGAACACCUAGGAAAUAACAAGCCCCAAAUGUUGCAGCAGAGACCAAAACAGGUGAUGACCAGAAAAGGAAACUAUUAUAUGCCUUGCGCAACUGAACAGCUGAUAACCAUUUCUCUUCAACUCUCCUCAUACUUUCAAUGACACUUUUAAAAUGAGUUUCCCAUGCAUAUAAUUUCAGAACUUUCAUAUUUACAAGAGCCUCUGAGAUAGCCUUGAGCCUAUCAUCUUGUGCUACCAUUAGCUUGGUCUGGAAUUUAUGUUGCAACUUUGCAAGAGGGGUAUUGCACAGCACAGUGAGUACAAUCACUACCAAGGAUGCAAAAGUUGCAAGUCCAACUGCGUGGAAGAGAAUGAUAAGUGCAAAGCAGAGCUGGACACUCGUUGUCCAGGUCUGAUGCAACCAAAAAGGAAACUCUCCAAUUCGAUAAGCAUCCACAGUUACAUAGUUCAUGAUUUCGCCACUAGAAUGCAUCAGCUUAGCAGCAUUGGAUAAUCUUAUCUGCUUCUUAUAAAUGGCUGCUGUAAGUAAAGACCUUACUUUUAGACCAAUUAGUCUGCUCCUGAAGUACCACUGCCUUUGUGACAAGGAUUCCAAGUUCUUUGAUAUAAAAAGCAGAAUGGCCAAUAAAAAUCCCUCAUUUUUAAAAGCUACAUCUCCUUCAGCAACCUUAAUGAAUGCAUUAAGAAGCAGCGGACCAGCAGAAAGAGUAGUUAUUUUCAGCAGCGCGAAGAAUCCUGACACAAUUAGCUCCUUCCGGUGACAUAACACAAUUGUCUUCAAAAUGGAUGGUUGGGAAGAGGGAUCAAGUUGUUUCUGUUUGUUCAGUAUAUCCAUAAACAUUAAGUAACAUGAUUCAGCACGAUCGGCCUCACGCAAUUUGGGUAUGUCUUUAUCCUCAAGAGUUUUCUGCCUCCCUUUCUUCAUCAGUGAAUUCAACCACCAAAAUGACAUUUUAUUAAGAAUCCCAGCCUUAGCAAAGGAAGUGACAGAGCUAAUCGAAUCAAUUUUACUGAUUUCAUUGGCAGCACCAUUUAAGGGAGCAUAAAGAUCAGUUUCAUCACUCUUUUCAUGCCGCAGCCCCUUGUAGGUGCAUAACAACAAUAAACAUGCUCCUACAAAGGACAAAACAUCUAGAGCUAUCUUCAUUGUUACGUCUUUAUUAAGAAUAGCCGCAACAAGUGACAUACCAGCAAAAAUUCCAGCAAAGACAAAGGCGAGAAUUGACAAGAGCCUCAGAGGGGUUCUUGAAAUAUGCUUUCCCCGAAGGCUUGCGGUUAAACUUAUGGAUAACCAUGUAAUUCCAUGAAAGAAGAUUAGUAACCACCAAUGCAGUGGUAAUGUACUAUGGGUUUUCUUCACCUGGUCUUCAAACACCCAAAUGAAUAAGGACAAAUACAGUAUGCCCAGUAAACCAUUGAAAAUAGCAGAAGCCAACUGCAAACGCGAGAACACAGAAAAGCGAGCAGGAAUAUUGAAGGAUGUCUUAGAAAACAGUGUCAAUAGGAAGAAGAGCAGGAGUAUAACAUCAAAAGAAAUGAUCAACGCAUGAUUGAUACAAGAUGAAGGGUGUGCCACUGACACCCAAUCAGCAGUACAAGUCUUUCCAUUCUUAUUCGAGCAAUCUGAUGCUCCACAAAAUACAGCCCAAAUGUCCUCCAUCUCCUCCUCCAAUUUCUAAGCCCUGAAAUGAAAUUUCAGUCCAAAGAUUUAAACUUUAAUUUGUACUCAAUAAUCCAUGCAAUGGGCAAAUUCAACAUUUCAACUCCUGGUAUCACGAAUGUAUUAACUUGAUCAGACUAGUGAAGGGACAUUCUAUUUGAGGGGGAACAGGAAAAAGGAAAAUUAUUGCAAUCCACAACUUUAGGAUCAAUUAUUGCAAAAAGUAAGUUGCAAACAGUAGCCAAAAGGUCCCCCCAAAAAAUGUCAAAAUGAACUUGAUGUACCUUAAUAUGUAAUUUACAACAUAAAUGUGAUCACUACUAUACAUCCACAGUCCACACUACUCAACUGCUUUCAUGCUAGACAGUGAGAGAACACAAAAUAAAACUGAAAGCAAGAGCGGUUCCAAGAGAACAGGGAGCGGUUAAUAGGUGCUUAUACAUGAAUGUAUUCUCACUUCAUUAACAAACAGAGAGAAUCUACUCAGCAUAAUAUGAUAAGAAAUUCAGAUGCGAGAUCCAAAAAGCAUUUAAACAACCGUACACCGAGCCAAUGACCCAAAAAAAUAAAAUAGAGAAUAUAAACUGGCCAACAGCUUAAAUGUAGGAAGUGAAAAAACAAAUACGCUGCGUGCGCUUAGGAUACCCAGGAAUGUCACAGAGUAAUAAAUUUGAAAACAUUAAACAUGACUAACCAGAAGAGCAGAAGGUGGACGACAAAAAUGCUUCGACUCUCGGAAAUUAUCACCAAUUUAAUCCUUAAAUAAAAGACAGAAGUUCCUACUGNNNNNNNNNNNNNNNNNNNNNNNNNAAUAAAUUUGUAAUUUCUUUCAUGUUAGACAAAGCGGCAUACAAACAGUAUAGUAUUAUUAAAUUCGCCGUGUGUAGUUGACAAUUGAUGUCUUUUGAGUCAUAGGGAGGUAUGUAUAAUUUGAUGGCUUUGAGGUGUGUUCUUGUUAUAUAGUAGUCCUAUGUGAUAGGGUGAUCAGAGGCGGAGUUGCAUUUGUAUAGCGUCAGCGCUCACGUAUCUGUUGUCUAACAAGUGUGGUCUUUUCCCUCUCACUAAUUUUCCCCACCCUCCGGCCUCUUAAUAAAGACGUAUCCGAUUCAACAUCAUAUACAUCGUCAAAACAGGGUAGUCAUUUUUCGGGUCGAUAAUUAAAAAACAGUCGGUAUUUGUAAAAUCAUUAAAAUAUAGACAUUAUUUUAUGCAGAGAUAAAAUUUGGACAAAAGUACCCUAUUUGAAACACGGAAAAUUUCAGCAUCAUAUGUUAGCUUAUAAAACUCCUCGAUAUAAACUUCCAGCAUAUAAUAUUAGAAUUGCAGUACAUUAUGAAAUUCUAGCACAUUAUGCUGGAAUCUUAUAUGUANCAUUAUCGAACUCCAAUAUAUUACGCUAGAAUUUUUUCGAAUUUUUAGGGGUUUUUUGUUUAUAUUUUAUUUUUAUAUAAAUGGCUAAAAUUCAAUUAUUAGAUGACUAUUAGAUGCUAAUGUCCCUCUCCACUUGGCUGACACUUUUCUCGUUACUUGCUUCUUCUUUAUUUCUCCUUUCAGAGUUUAAAGCUUUUUUAGCAUACAAAAUAUUUAUGUGAUUGGAUUACUUAUAACAUAAUUAAUUUUUAAUGAUAAAUAUUAGUUAUUGGUAAUUUAAUAACAAUGAUAACUUAUAUGUUAUCAUAAUGACAUCCCAAUUUUGUGGUAAUUUAUACUCUAUAGAAUAUAUUAAUGACUUUAACAUAAAUGUUCAAAUUGUUGUCCAAUUUUGAAAUGGAUUUAAUUCAUGCACUUGUACAUAUAAAGUUUUUCAGAACAGCAUGAUGCUUAAAAGUUAAUGAUAUAAAAUAUACUUUAGAUCCUACCGAAAUUUUCAAAAAGUUAGAUUCACUUCUUUUUUCCAUGGAAGAAGGGGGGCGUGCUUGGUUUUCUUGAAAGGUAGAAAUAACACUGAGUUAUAUAGGGUGUAACUAACUAAAUAAGACAUUCCAAACGUGUAAGUAUGAUAUUCUCAUUUAAUAUUAGCUGGAGUAUUGGUCCAAUAGUUCUGAUGACUCACAAAGAUAAUUAAUCACAUAUUUAAAAAAAUGAUAAAAAUGCAAAACUUCACCUAACUAGGAAAGGAUUAAAAGUGUUUUUGUUUUUGUUUUUUGGAGGUAGCUAUCAACUUUCAUUAAUAACCAAAGUAUAAACUGUUCAAAAAAAACUUUUUUCCCCAGAGGUUGUCCAAAAGGCACUUUCCAAAGGCUGUCAAAAAACUUGGAACUUGUGACCUUUUAGUAAAUUAUUUGUCCAAAAGGCACUUUUCAUUUGUAUUUAUCAUUUUCUUAGUUUCUAAAAUCAUCAAACUAAAUAAUCCGUUGUCUAGAAAUGUCAUAUCCGAAAAUAUAAGUUUAAAUAAAAAGUUCAUCCAAUUAAUAAAAAUGUUAUAUUUAUACAAUCAAGGAAAAUAUAUAUAUUCGUGUGUUUAUACCAAACUAAACAAUAUACAUGAAUUAGAGAAAAUAUUAUAUAAGCGAAAUAUUCAUAUGCAUGACACUAUUUUGUAUUUAUUUGCUUAAAAUAAAGAUUGAACAAGUUUUUUUUUUAUCUAUUAUGGUGAUAUAAAUGAUCUCAAAAGAGAACAUGAUGAUGGUAGGCUAGAAUUCCGUGUUAGUCAUGGUUUGCACCCUAAUUAUUGUAUUUUACUUGUGUUUGAGCUUAAAUGGUAGUGAAUUGCACUCAUUAUGUGUUUGAGCUUAAAUGAUAGUGAAUUGCACUCAUUAUGUGUUUUAUGCCUUGCAGGAAGUGAUUCCGAGCUAUUAAUAUAAUGUGGAGCUAAAUCGAACAAGUUGGAGCUUUGAAGUCUGAGUAGAAGCCCAAGAAAUUAAGCCAGGAUCACGUUCGGGGGUUGAGGAUUAAGUUUGGAUGUCAAAAAGUUGAUGAAAUAAUUUACUCUGAGAAAAAGAUGCAGUCGUGCCGCAUGGGGCGCGGCGCGGCGCGGCGCGACAGUGCAAAAUGGCAUGUCUGACAAAAAUCUGCUCUCUAAAUAUUUGCACUAGCGUGGCGCGAGGCACAAUGUAUUUUUGCGGUCCAAUUUUCUCACUUCGGCUUGGAAAAGAUAGUUUCGUCCGGACCCAUUCCUAUAUGGUACAAAUACAUCAAAAAUAUAAAUUUUAGGGGACUUUUGACCUCGGAAGCUUCGGGAGAGCAUUGGAGGCUACAAGACACUGGAUUUCAUCAUCUUUUCAUCAAUUUAAUACGAGAGUUUGGAUUAUAACGUUAGAUUGAUGUUUUCUUACUCUUCAAUUAUAUUUGUGAUGGCUUUCUCCAUGAUUAUGGAGUAGUUUACUGUAACGACUCGACCAGUUAUUUUACUUUUUAGAACCUCAUUCCCCUAAAUAAGACUCCCCGUAUGUGCUUUUACUGUUUUAUGACUUGCGGGGAUGGUUAGUUCGAGAUUUGACUGAAAUCGGAACACUUGGUUUCAUGGUUUGGCUUUAAAAGGCUAAGUUUGACCUCGAGUACAUAUUUAUGCUUGCAUUCAGUUGUCUUCAUUUUAACCAUUUGAAUCUCUAUUUCUCCAAAUUCUAAACAAAUGGGAUUUAAUUACUUGAAAAUUUGGUAAAAGAAUAAUUCACAUAGUAACUUCAUCGUAGGCUUGCCUAGCGACGACGUUAGGCGCCAUCACGGCCUAUAGGAGAAAUUAGGUCGUGACAUUUACCUUAGGGUUUGACAGACAUGGUGUUUUGAUAAAUAUUUGUGGAUUUUAACUCUAGUUCGUGCUUAAAUUCAUUUAUGGAGUUUUGAAUUGUUGCAACUUUAUUCAUCAGUUUAUUUAAUCGAAAGAGGAAUAUCUUGGUGAUUAUAUUUGCAUUAUUUUGUUUGAUUUAAUUCAUUGAUUCUCUUAAGUAAUUGAAAGAGCUUGUUGAAUUGUUGAUUGAAUCAAGUUAGUAGAAUAUUCGAGAGACGUUUUCCUAAGGACCAAUCCAUUAACGCAUGCUUGCAUACUUCACAGUGCUUAUAUUAGUUCACCUCGUAGAGUUAAGAUUUAAUCUAAAGAGGAGUCUUGAUUGCACGUUUGAACUAAUCAUCGAGUGAAUUCGUGAGAAUCAUUAAAAUAUUAGAGUGCAUUAAACUAGAGUUAAAUCCCAAAUAGCUAUCUUGCACCUAUCCUAUCAAACUCUUAUCCCUCACAUUGAUAAGAAACCACUAUGCGAAUCUCCAAUUCCUUGUUGUCAAUUAUAAAAUGUGUUAUUUUAGUAGUUAAACUUAGUGCAUAAUCAUUUAACUCUAGUGUUGAUCCUCCUGAAUAGCAAUUAAACCAGGAAUUACUCGAACAUUGUUUAACAUCAAAGGAAGUGCUUUCUCAAUAUAAGCACAUUCCUUUUACUUUCCACCACCAAUGAGGGAUAAUUGAUCUUUCCAAAGCAUAAGGGAGCUCACUUUCCCUUCACAUUUCUUCCCUCCAUUUUCCAUUCACCAACCUUCAAUUUCAACAACCCCCCCACAUGAAUAGGGAAUGGCUAUGUAACGACCUGGCCGGUUGUUUUGAGUAUUAUAAUCUCGUUCUCCCAUUUACUGCUUAUCCUGUGUUCAAUUAUAAUUAUGUGACUCGUCGGAGAGGGUUCAGAAUGAAUUGAAACACUUAGUUCUAAGAUUUAAAGCUUAAGUUGAAAUAGUUGACCGGAUGCUGACUAUGUGUAAACGACCCCGGAAUAGAGUUUUGAUGAUUCCAAUAGCUCCGUAUGGUGAUUUUGGAUUUGAGAGCGUGUCCGAAAAAUUAUUUGGAAGUCCGUAGUUAAAUUAGGCUUGAAUUGAUUAAAAUGGAAAUUUAAGUUUGGAGGUUUGACCGGGGAGUUGACUUUUUGAUAUUGGGAUCAGAAUCCCAUUCUGGAAACAUGGAAUACGUCUGUUAUGUCAUUUAUGUCUUAUGUGUAAAAUUUGAGGUCAAUCGGACUUGAUUUGAUAGGUUCCAGCAUCGAAUGUAGAAGUUAAAAAUUCUUAGUUUCAUUAAUCUUGAAUUGGGGUAUGAUUUGUGAUUUUAGCAUUUUUUUUUUAUAUGAUUUAGAGGUUCGACUAAGUUUGUAUGAUGUUUUAGGACUUGUUGGUGUAUUUGGUUGAGGUUUCCGAUGGCCUCGGGUGAGUUUCGGAUGGUUAACGGAUCAAAUUUGGACUUAGAACAAUUAAAAAGGUUUUGUUGUCUAUUGAUGCGAUCGCACCUGCGGUAAUUGGCUCGCAGAAGCAAGCUUGGUUGCGCAGAAGCGGAAUUGGCUUGGCAAGGGCAAGGGUCACAGGUGCGCACUCAGGAUCGCAGAAGCGUACUCGCACCUGCGACGAGUUGAUCGCAGAAUCGGAAGUGAGAGGGGAGGGGCCUCAUCGCAGAAGCGGCUUGGGUUCCGCAAAUGCGAGGCCGUAGAAGCGGACCUCUUGUCCAUAGAAGCAAAAGAAGCCGCAGGAGCGGGGAGUACCUCACAUCUGCGAGACCACAGAUGCAGUUAAGUACUCCGUAGAAGCGGAAACAUUGGGCAGGCUACAAAAACAGAAGGGUCCGACAUUUUUGUCAUUUUGGAUAUUCCAAACACGGUUUUGGGGCGAUUUUCAGAGAGAAUUCACAGGAAAACUUGAGGUAAGUCACUUAUGAUCAUUGUUAGUCGAUAAUAUUGAAUUAUCAUUGAGUAUUCCAACUAGAUUACAUGUUUUUGAGGUGUAAUUAGAGGAUUUGGGCUUAGGGAUUUGAAAAUAAAAUUAAGGGGAUUUGAAGGUCGAGUUGUUGUCGGAAUUUGGUAAAUUUGGUAUGGUUGGACUCGUGGUUGAAUGAGCGUUUGUAUUUUGUAACUUUUGUCUGGUUUUGACUCAUGGGCCCCACUCUUGAUUUUUGAUCAGAGUUAGAAAUUUUUAUAAAUUGUUAAUUGCAAGCAUUGGAGUAUAGUUUUGAUUAAUUUUCACGUUGUUUGACUAGUUUCGAAUCAUUUGGCUUGGAAUUGAGGAGAUGGGAAGGCGUUCAGAGCUUGAUACAUGUGGAAUAGAAUUUUCGGAGUAUUGUUUAGCUUGCUCGACAGCGGAUUCGUCUUGUUUGAGGUAAGUAACACUUCUAAACUUAGUACUGAGAGUAUCAAACCUGAAUUUCAUGUUAUGUAUUUGUUGUUAAGGCGACGCACAUGCUAGGUUACGAGCGUGUGGGUGUGCACCGUGUGAAUUAUAAAUCCAUUAUUUCUGUGGUGUUGUGUAGUUACUGGAACAUAUCUGUAAUCAUGAAAUCUCUACGUACUAGAGUUAUUGAACUGUGAUCCAUGUUAGAAACCAUAUCUAGGCUACAUGCUUAUUCUGUUGGGACCCACUGAGGUCAUUACUGUUGUUGAGUUAUUUGCUUAUAUUGAAAUUUCAUAAUCAGUCAUGUUCAUUCAUUUCAUAUCAUAUCUCAGUCUCUGUUGCUAUAUAUUGACACAUCAUAUCAUUAUUUUUGGGCUAGUUUUAUGGCAUCGUGGGCCCGAGAGACUGGAGAGAUUGAUGAUAGAGUGAGGUCGAGGGCCUGAUUGUGAAGUUAUUGAUACUAUAACACGUGAGUUGUACGUGCAACACGUGAGUUAUCUGUGCGGAUCCAGAUAUUGACACUAUAGCACGUGAGUUGUCCGUGCGGAUCCAAAUAUUUAUAUUAUAGCACGUGAGUUGUCCGUGCGGAUUAUAGGGCUUGGGCUGAAGGAGCCUUUCUGGAGUCUGCACACACACCCAGUGAGCGCAGGUACCUAUUGAGUGCGAGUGAGAGUGCCGAGUGAUUGGGAGGACUGAGUGGAUUGAUACUUUGAGAGUAUGUAUAUGGUUGUUCACUAUGUUGCACUGCAUUGACAUACACACUUGACAUACAGUCAUAUAGAUGUAUUUUCCUUCUGUUGUACGAUAUUGCGUCAUUUAUGACUUCUCAUACACAUUGACAUGUAGGCAUAGAGAUAUAUUGUUCCUCAUGUCAUUUGAUAAUGAAACAUUUACCUAUUGAAAUAUUUUGGAAGGAAAAUCACGAUUUUGCAAACUUACUCAUAUUUUGGUGUUUUCGAUAAAAGAUUUGGGUUUUCACUGUUAGACUUGAAAAACAUGCAUAUUUUCUGGAACUGUGAAUGAGUUGAACAUUUUAUUUCUGAAUUAUUUCCUGUGCCAUUUUUUUUAUUAUAUUGGUAUGAGGCGUUGUUGGCUAUCAGUGUUGGACUUUGACAUGUGUUCCAGCUCGUCACUACUUUCAACCUAAGGUUAGGUUUGUUACUUAUUGAGUACAUGUGGUCGGUUGUACUCAUACUACACUUCUGCACCUUGCGUACAGAUAUUGGAUGUUGAUAUUGCUGUGAUCGACGGGAGCGGGAUUUGAAAACGUACAUGCGUUCCAUUUGUUGGUUGCCUCUUAUUCAUGGUAGCUUUAGAAUUUUUAAUCUGUUUCUAUACAUUUCGAACAGAUGAUGUAUUUCUUUCAUACCAGCUUUGUAAAUUCUAAUCUUAGAAGCUCAUUAUUUGUACUACCAGUCCUUGAGAAGUUCUUGUAUAAAAGCAGUUGUAUUUUCUUUUCUUGGGAUCUCCAAUCUCCUAUGUAGAGUUACAGCCAUGAUGAUUUGUCCUAGGCCUUAACUAUAUUCCUUUUGAUGAUCUUUCAACUGCCUCUCUAGAUAUGCCUUUUGUGAGUGGAUCUGACACGUUAUCUCUUGACUUCAGGUUGUCAAUUGUGAUAACACCACUAGAGAGUAGUUGUCUAACGGUAUUAUGUCUUCGUCGUAUGUGACGAGAUUUUUCAUUAUACAUAACUCUCCCUGCCCUACCUAUUACCGCUUGACUAUCACAAUGAAUACAUAUGUGGCAAAGGUUUGGGCCAAAAUGAAUAUCUUCCAUGAAAUUCCGGAGCCAUUCAGCUUUUUUACCGGCCUUGUCUAAAGCUAUGAAUUCAGAUUCCAUCGUACAACGGGCGAUGCACGUUUGUUUGGAUGAUUUCUAAGACACUUAUCCACCCCCAAUUCUGAAAACAUAUCCACUUGUGGAUUUAAUUUCAGAUGACCGGUGAUCAAAUUUGCAUUACUAUAUCCCUCAAUUACAGAGGGAUAUUUAUUCUAAUGCAGAGCAUAGUCUUGGGUAUGUUUCAGAUAUCCUAAAACUCAUUUAAUUUCCAUCCAAUGUAUUUGAUUGGGAUUACUUGUAAUCCGACUCAGUUUUCUAAUAGCACAUGCUAUAUCUGGUCGCGUACAAUUCAUGAUAUACAUCAAACUUCCCAAUACUCUUGCAUAGACCAGUUGUGAAUCACUUUCACUUUCAUUCUUUUAAAGUGCAUAAAUCAUGUCAAUUGGAGUCUUGGCAAUCUUGAAAUCCAAAUACUUGAACUUGUCAAGUACUUUUUCAAUGUAGUGACACUGUGAUAAUGCUAGGCCUUGUGAAGUCUUGUGAAUUCUGAUUCCUAAGAUCACAUAAACAACUCCUAAGUCUUUCAUGCCGAAUUGUCUAGCCAGCAUGCGCUUAGUAGAAUUUAUAUCUGCCAUAUCUUUGCUCAUUACCAAUAUGUCAUCAACAUAUAAACAAACAAUGACUUCAUGACUGUAAUGACCCGACCGGUCGUUUUGAGAGUAUUAGCCUUAAAUCUCUAAUUAUUGCUCCCUUUAUUUCAUUUUGUGAUUACGUAACUUGCUGGGAGGAUUUAUUUUUGGUUUCAGAGUGAAAUGGGACACAUAGUCCCUAAUGUGGGAGUUUAAGUCCUAGGAAUCGUCAUAGUUUGAAUUGUAUGAAGACGACUCCGGAAUAAAGUUUAGACGGUUCCAAUAGCUCCGUAAGGUAAUUUUGGUCUUAGGAGCGUGUUCGGAUGUUGAAUUGGAGGUUCGUAGGUCAUUUUAGAGUCAAUUGGCGGAAGUUGGAAAAUUGGAUGAUUUUUGAAAAGUUUGACCAGGAGUGGACUUUUUGAUAUCGGGGUCGGAUUCCGAUUUCGGAAGUUGCAGUAGGUUUGUAAUGUCAAUUAUGACUUGUGUGCAAAAUUUGAGGUCAAUCAGACGUGAUUUGAUAGGUUUCGACGUCAUAGGUAGAAGUUUGAAGUUUUAAAGUUUAUUAACCUUGAAUCGAUGUGCAAUUCGUAUUUUUAGCGUUGUUUGAUGUGAUCUAAAGGCUCGACUAAGUUCGUAUGAUAUUUUAGGACUGGUUGGUAUAUUUGGUCGAGGUCCCGGGGGCUUCAGGUGGAUUCCGGAUAGUUAACAGAUCAAAAUUGGACUUGUGAGAAUGGCUGAAGGUACCAGUUCUGGUGUAAUCGCACCUGCGCAAGAUUGACCGCAGGUGCGAGCCUGCAGAAGCAAGCAAGUGGGCACAAAUGCGGGGCUGGGGGAAAUGGUUAGUGGUCGCAGAUGCGAGCUGAAGGCCACAUAAGGGGAGUCGCCUCUGCGGAAGAGUGAUCGCAGAAGCGGACGAGUGCAUGGGAGGCCUUUCCGUGGAAGCAGACGAGUUUGCGCAGAUGCACACAUGUAGAAGUAGUCUAUGAACCGUAGAAGAGGAAAUAGGUGAGGAAGCUGGGACCGCAGAAGCGGCUAGGAUCCCGCAGAAGCGUCUAGGAUCCCGCAGAAGCGAGUCCGCAUGAGCGGAUGAGGAGACCGUAGGUGCGAGGGUAACCAUAAAAGCGGAUAAGUUAUCACUUCUGCGACGCCGCAUAUGCGGCUAUGUUUCCGCAGAAGCGGAAGUGCUGGGCAAAAUACUCAAAUACAAGGGCUCACAAUUUUCUUCAUCUUUAACAUUUUGAGCUCAGGUCUUGGCGAUUUUUGAGAGCAAUUACGAGGGAUUUCUUGAGGUAAGUCUCUUGUACUCAUUUUUUAUAAAUAAUCUCGUUUCCCCAUUGAUUUUCCCACCUAGAUGGCAUGUGUUUAAGGUGGAAAUUGGGAGUUUGAGUCUAGGAAUUUGGAGAGUUUAAUUUAGGGAUUUGAGUGGCGACUUGGUGUCGGAUUUUGGUAAUUUUGGUAUGGGUGAACUAGAUAUCGAAUGGGUGUUCUUAUUUUGUGACUUUUACCCGAUUCCGAGAUGUGGGCUCGGGUCAACUCUUUCGGGCGAUAUUUUGAUUCUUUGCUAAAGUCAUAGAUUUAUGACUUAAAUUAGUUUCUUGUAGUUGUAUUCAUUAUAUGUAAUUGCCUUUGGCUGUAUUUGGGCCAUUCAGAGUCGCAAAAUCGAGGGGAAGACAUCCUUAUCGAUGGAUUGAGUGAGAUUCGAGGUAAGUGCCUUGUCUAACUUUGUGUGGGGGAAAUCCCCUUAGGAUUUGGUACUGUUGUAACAAUUUAUGAUAUUUGAGCGCCGUGUACGCGAGAUGACGUGUGCGUACACGGGCUAAAUUUGGAAUUCCGGUUCUUGCCGAGUUGUCUUCUUUUAAAUUCCUUAACUGGGUUUGCCUUAGAAUAUGUAGUGAUCAUGUUUAGCCUAUUAUCGCAAGCCUACAUGCCUUAACUCUUACUUGCAAUUUGUGCAACAUGAUUAGUUGAAUUACCUGCUUCCCUUAAUUUGAAAUAAAUCUUUAACUGUAAGAUUUCUUGCUGUAAAUUCGUCGUUCCUUCAGUUAUCUUCUGCAUAUUUAAUUUGGGACUACGAGGCGAUUCCUCGGGAGAUCCCCAUGUCUUUCAUAUUUACUUUGGGACUACGAGGCGGUUCCUCGGGAGAUCCCCCUUGUCUUGCAUAUUUACUUUGGGACUACGAGGCAGUACCUCGUGAGUUCCCUAUGUCGUGCAUAUUUACAUUUGGGACUAUGAGGCGGUACCUCGGGAGUGCCCCUGUUGUUUACUUCUAUUUGUUGUGCUGUUAUUUUCUGAAACCUCUCGUUGAUUAAAUUCUCAGUCAUUUCAAAAUAUUAUUAUAUAUUCUACCUUUCUUAUAUUUUAAAACAGUAGGGACCUGACCUGACCUCGUCACUACUCUACCAAGGUUAGGCUUGGCACUUACUGGGUACCGUUGUGGUGUACUCAUACUACACUUCUACACAUCUUUUUUGUGCAGAUCCAGGUUCUUCCUACCGGGCCAAAUACCAGUGAGUUGGACCGUACGUGGAGACUUCAAGGUAUAUCUGCCAGCGUCCGCAUACCUCGGAGUCCCCCUCUAUCCUUAUUAUGUUGUUUCCCUCAUUCUCUUUAGACUUUGAUGUAUAGAGAUACUUGCUACUUUCUCUUAGAAUCUUGUGACUUAUUUCUACCGGGGUUUGGGAGUGUAAUUAUUAAAUCACAGUUUUUUUAAUUUAUAUAUCAUGUGUUGAGAUUGGAGUUCGAUUUAUUAAUCAGUUAUUCCGCAAAUUGUUAGGCUUACCUAGUCUUAGAGAUUAGGUGUCAUCGUGACAUCCUAUGGAGGGAAAUUGGGGUCGUGACAAUGACCUGAAGUGUUUUUAAUGUAAACACAUUAGUCACAUUCAUUGAUUUUAAACCCAUUUGCCAACAUUGUUUGGUCAAAUUUAGCAUGCCAUUGUUUGGGUGCUUGUUUAUGUCCAUAAGGUGACUUAACAAGUUUGCACACUUUCUUUUCUUUACCAAGAACCACAAACCUCUCACGUUGUUCCAUAUAAAUUUCUUCCUCCAAUUCUCUUUUUAGAAAGCCGUUUUAACAUCCAUUUGAUGGAUUUUAAGACCGUACACGACCGCAGUGCCACUAACACCCUAAUAGAUAUUAUCCUUAUUACUGGCGAGUAAGUGUCAAAGUAAUCAAGGGCUUCCUUUUGUCUAUAACCUUUGACAAUAAGUUUUGCCUUAUAUUUGUCAAUAGUGCCAUCAACUUUCAUUUUCCUCUUAAAGAUCCAUUUCACCUAGAGGCUUAUUUCCUGGAGGAAGAUCAACCAAUUCUCAUGUAUGAUUAUCCAAAAUUGAUUGAAUCUCACUAUUGACUACCUCUUUCCAAAAUGCUGAAUCAGAAGAUGACAUAGCGGUUUUGAAAGUUUGAGGCUCAUUUUCAAGCAAGAAUAUUACAAAAUCUGGUCCAAAGGAAGUGGAUGUUCUUUGACAUUUGCUACGCCUUCUAUCCUCUUCACUUGGAGUAUUUUCCUUUGACUCUUCCUGUGGUCAUUUAGGUAUUUCACUUGACGACUCACAUUCAAUUUUAUACGGAUAGAUAUUUUCAAAGAAUUCAGCACUAUCUGAUCCAAUUACCGUAUUAACAUGAGUUUCGGUAUUAUCAGAUUUAUGAACCAAAAACUAACAUGCUUUACAGUUUGUACCAUAUCCAAUAAAAACACAAUCCACAGUUUUUGAUUUGAUUUUUACACUUUUUGGUAAAGGUACUUGUACCUUUGCUAAACACCCCCACACUUUGAAAUAUUGCAAGUUGAGUUUCUUCCUUUCCAUUUCUCAUAUGGAAUAGAUUGCAUUUUGUUGUGGGGUACUCUGUUAAGUAGUCGGUUAGCCGUAAGGAUAUCUUCCCCCCACAAGCUCUACGGUAAGCCAAAACUUAUUAAUAAAGCAUUUAUCAUUUCCUUUAAUGCCCGAUUUUUCCUUUCUGCAAUUUCAUUGGAUUGAGGUGUGUAGGAGGCUGUAGUUUGAUGGAUAAUUUCAUAUUCCGAACAUAUUUCUGCAAAAGGAGAUUCGUAUUCUCCACCCCUAUCACUUCUAAUUAUUUUAAUAUUUUUAUUCAAUUGAUUCUCUACUUCAUUCAUGUAUUGCUUAGUUGCUUCAAUUGCUUCAUCCUUACUCUUAAGCAAAUAAACAUAAGAAUAUCGAGUACAAUCGUCAAUAAAAGUUAUAAAAUACUUUUUCUCACCACGAUAUGGUGUUGACUUCAUAUCACAAAUGUCAGUAUGAAUUAAGUUUAAAGAAUUUGAAUUCCUUUCAACAGACUUAUAAGGAUGUUUGACAAACUUAGAUUCAACACAUAUUUGACAAUCUAGGAAUAUUUGUUUAUAUACAUAGCAAUUCUCCUGCAUCAUCACACUGAGCUAGUCGUUGUUUGUGUGUGUGGGGUUGUGUGAGGCAAUCAUUUUUCAAGUGAUCGAGGCUCAAGAACUACCGGCCCAGGUUUCUCAGAUUGUCCCUUUCAGCUAGCUCAUCGCAAUCCAUCACCGCCGGCCAGAUUUCCGUUAACUUCAAGGGCUGCAAUCGAGGUUCUAUUGUUCCUCUCUUGUCUUGAUAUUUUAGCGUAAUUGUAUCUCCUUUCCUGCCUAUUUAUUCUUGAAUCUUUAGAUAGUAUUUUCCCUAGCAUUGUCAAAUUAAUUGCAUUAGUGAUAGCUUUGCCUACUUGUUUAUAUUGUUAUCUACCUGUUUACAUCUUUAUUUUGAAUCUUUAUUUAAUAUAUCCCCUAGUAGUUCUACUCUAGCUUUGUACAUAUUCUUUUUGACUUUAGUUGUAGAUUAUAGUCCCCUUUAGCUAUUUUAUUGUAUUUCUUCACCUGUUUUUCUGACCUUUAGUUGUAGAUUAUAGUUCCCUUUAGUGCCUUUAUUUUGUUUCUUCUGCUAUUUUUCUAACCUUUAGUUGUAGAUUAUAGUUUCUGUUAGUUCCUUAUUUUAUUUCCUUACAUGUUUUGCGACCUUUAGUGGUGUAUGAUAUUUCGGUUUUUCAUUUUAUUUUUGUCACUUGUUUUCGGGAUAGUGCUUGCGUAGUGACUCCUAGAUUAUAGUGGCUUUGGUGAAUGAUGGUAGGGUAAGGUCUUGUCCUCGGGGGUAUAAGGGAGCUACUAGGCUGAGAGUGGGGGUCUUGGAACAUAGGAACUUUAACUAGAAAAUAUGUAGAGUUAGCGAAGAUUCUCGAGAAAAGGAAGAUUAAUAUAGCUUGUGUACAAGAGACUAUGUAGAUAGGAGAUCAGGCGCGGGAUGUGGACAGAUUCAAAUUAUGGUAUUGUGGGAGGGCAGGGGGCAGGAACGGGGUAGGUAUCUUGGUUGAUAAGGACCUCCAUGAACUAGUGGUGGAGUUUAGGAGGAUGAAUGACAUGCUAAUAACUAUUAAGCUAGUUGUUGGAGGCAGGGGUGAAGCUACGUUCCUCCGAGGGUGGUCAACUGACUACCCUUCGCCGGAAAAUUAUACUCUGUAUAAGGUAAAUAUUACUUGUUAUUGAUUAAAAAUAGACUUUGAACACCCUUGUUGAAUUUCCUGGCUUUGCCACUGGUUGGAGGCUUUACUUUAAAAAUAAUCAGUGCGUACGCACCCCAAGUAGGCUUGGAUGAGGAAGUCAAGAGGCGUUUCUAGGAGGAUUUGGAUGAGAUGGUGCGUGGUAUCCCGCAUACCAAGAAGCUUUUCAUAGGAGGAGAUUUCAACGGCCACAUUGGAGCGACAUAUGUGGGAUAUGAUGAUGUGCAUGGUGGCUUUGGUUUUGGAUAUAGAAAUGGAGGAGGAACGUCUCUGCUGGACUUUGCUAGAGCAUUUGAUUUGGUGAUAGCAAACUCGAGUUUCCCGAAAAGAGGGAGCGCUUGGUCACCUUCUGGAGUUCGGUGGCCGAGACUCAGAUUGAUUAUUUACUCUGCAGGAAGUCUGAUAGAGGUCUUUGCACAGAUUGCAAGGUCAUCCCGAGUGAGAACCUCUCGACCCUUCAUAGGCUCUUGGUCAUGGACCUAGAGAUCACGAGGAAGAAGAGGAAGAUGGCAAUGUAUAACCAACAUAGGAUCAAGUGGGGAGCCUUGACGGAAGCUAAAGCACAGGAGUUUGGGGUCAAGUUACUGACUAUGGGGGCUUGGAGGAGUAGUGGUGUCACGACCCAAAAUCCUACCACAGGCGUCGUGAUGGCACUUAGUCUCUAAGACUAGGUAAGCCGAUUAAUAUUACAUUUCGAGUCUUUCUUUUAUAUAUAAAUAGAUAAUCGAAACCAACCGCAGAAAUAAUUAUAACAACCUCCCAAGACUGGUAAUACUGAGUCAUGAACUCUAACUGAAUACAUGUAGUGAUCUCAAGGAUCGAAUAUACAAUACUGUUCGAAUAAGAGUUGACAGUAUAAUAAAAUGUAAAGAUUCCAAGGGACAGCGAUGACCAAGCAACCCUACCUUAAAUCCUUGCGAUCACACUCUAAUCUCUGUCUGAAUCUGAUAUCUCAUAUAUCUGGCUCGACACAAAAAUGUGCAUAAGUGUAGUAUGAGUACACAACUGUCGGUACCCAAUAAGUAUCAAGACUAACCUCGGUGGAGUAGUGACGAGGUACAGUCAAGGCACUCACUAGUAAAAUAACCGGUGCAAUACAGCAGUAUACAAUAGUACUAGAAAAUAACUAGCAGUAAUAGCAACAAAAAUCAACCAGUGAUAUAAACAACAAGGCAACAAGAACACCAUAAUUAUUGCUCAAACGAAUAAGGAAUGCAAGUACAACCAAUUAAUCAAGUCCUUUAAAUAUAAAUCUUUCACAUAUAAUUCUUUCAAAUAAAUACCGUCCGAAUAUACUUCUUUUAAAUAAAUAUCUUUCGAAACCACCUCAUUUCAUAAUCAUAAAACACGGGUCUCAACCCACUUUCAUAUUUUUGUAACAUGGGUCUCAGUCCACUUUCAUAUUUUCACGGCACCUUGUGCCCAUAAUUCUAUCAAAACCGAGCGGACAACUCAUGUGCCAAUAAUAAAAAUUAUUAUAUUUCCCCGGUACCUCAUGCCCGCAUUUCAUAUCACAUCUGCACGGACAGUUCACAUGCCAAUAACAAAAUUAUUAUAUUUUCGUGGCACCUCGUGCCCACAUUUCAUAUCACAUAUGUCCGCACAGUUCACGUGCCAAUAACAUAAUCUGCCCGGCAAUGGCCACAGGCUCACAAUUUCAACAUAGAUCAAACUAUUAUCUAGUUUACCGAAACAACAAGACAAGUUGCACAAGAGAUAAAAAUAAACACAAAAAAAUAACAACAUCACAUAAAAAUCACCAACACAAUAAUCCCACAUCAUCACGUAUCAUCCAUGACAAUAGCCACCCUUAUCUCUCCUAUAGCCACCCGUAUCACUCCAUAAUAAUAUCCACCCAUAUCACUCCGCCUUGACAAUAUCAAUAGUCAACCUUAUCACUCCUAUAGCCACCCUUAUCUCUCCUUAUAAUAGCCUCCCUUAUCUCUGCUCCCAGACAAUAUCCCAACACACAUAACAACAAUGAUAUGCCACCCUUAUGUCCGCAUAUUAUCAACAGUGAAAUGCCACCCUUAGGUCCCCAUAAAAAUAACUCAAAUCACCCAACAAUUUACACGGAAUAUUAUCACAACAACACAACACAAUCAAUUCAUAUCACAAAUUGCGCAAUGGCCACCACCAAUUCCAAAGAUACAACAAAAUCAAUAAAUUUCACUGGAAAUAGCCCAAGUAUCCACACAACGUAUAUAAAACCUCAAAAACAACAAGAGAGAUGGAAAAGUAACUCAGCAUAGGACAAGACCUUCUUUAAUCCAAAGUUUUGAUAAAUAUAUAUAUUAAUGCCUCAUUUUAAACUUAUUUAAUAAAUUAUUUGCAGAUAAGGAAUCCAUAAUAAAAUUAUUUCCAAGAAAUGUCAACCCAAUCAACCACGACAUUUCACAUAAAAAUCAAAGUGGCAACCACACCAAAUUAUCAUAUAAAAACAACCUCGGCAAGCAAGGAAUGAGGCAUGACAAAUAAAGUAUUUAAUAAGUUCCAACAAUUAUCUAAUUUAAUACAUAAGGGUGUCUAGAAAUUUUAACCGGUAUACUUUGCACAUAUAAAUCAAGUACGUACUCGUCACCUCGCGUACAUGGCUUUCAAUCACACAAUUUUCACAUAAGACUCAAUGCCUAAGGGGUAAUUUCCCCAACUCAAGGUUAGGCAAGAUACUAACCUUUGUGAAGUUAGGCCGAUAUUUCAAAAUAGCAUUCUUGCUUGAAUUGACCUCCAGACAGCUCAAAUCUAUCCAAAUUAAUUGUAUAACUUCAUUAAAAUUCAUCAAAAAUAAUUCUGGAUAAUAAAAUGCCGACUUAAAAUUUUACAUGAAAACGUCAACCAAAAGUCAAUGUGGGGCCCGCCUCUCAGAACCCGAUAGAAUUUUUACGAAAUCCGAACACCCAUUCCGAUACGAGUUCAACCAUACCAAUUUUAUCAAAUUCCGAUAACAAAUCGACCUCCAAAUCUUAAAUUUCCGUUUUUGAACUAUUUUGUAAAAAUCCCAAUUUUUUUCAUUUAAGUCUGAAAUAAAUGAUGAAUAUAACCAUGGAUUUAUGAAAUAUAAUCAUUUCCAGAUAUAGAACACUUACCCAAGUCGAAGUCGUGAAUAAAUCCUCAAAAUCGCCCAAGAAUUGAGCUCCAAAAAUUCCAAUCGAAAAUGGCGAAAUGACCAAUCUCAAAUCCUUAUGUUUCUGCCCAGUUCCGCUUCUGUGAACGGAAAUGCCGCAUCUGCGGAGUACACUGCCCAGCUGAAGCCUCGCAUCUGCGGAAGCAUUUUUGCUUCAGCGAUGGCCAAACGCGCAUGUGCGGACCAGCCGCUUCUAGAUUCCCUCUUGUGCUUAUGCGAUCACGCAUGUGCAUAAAAUACGUCGCACCUACGACCUCUACCCAGUCUUCCCAAUGCCGCUUCUGCGAUGUCGCACCUGCGCCCAUAAUUCCGUAGGUGCGAUUUCAUCAGGUGCUGCCCAGAAACAGCUUCCGCAGUAGAAAAUUCCAGCAGCUUCAACAAGUCGUCAAACGAUCCGAACCCUCGUCCGAAACUCAUCUGAGCUACCCGAGACCUCGUACGAAUAUGCCAAUAAGUCCCGUAACACAACACGGACCUACUCGGGGUUUCAAAUUAUAUCAAACAAUACCAAAAUUACAAGUCGCACCUCGAAUCGAAUUAUGAGUGUGUUUUUUCAAAGUUUUCAACUUCUAUAAUUUGCGCCGAAACGUAUCAAAUCAAUCCGGAAUGACUUCAAAUUUUGCACACGAGUCAUAAAUGAUAUAAUGGACCUAUUCCAAUUUACGGAAUCAAAUUUCGACCCCGAUAUCAACCAAUCGACUUACGGUGGAAUUUAUGAAUAUUUCAAGAACUUCACUUUCUAACGUUUCGCCGAAAUGUGCCGAAUUGUCCUACGGACUUUCAAAUCCAAAUCCGAACAUAUGCCUAAAUCCAAAAUCACUUUACGAAGCUAUUGACAUCAUCAAAAUUCUAUUCUAGAGUCGUUUGCUCAAAAGUCAAACUCCGGUCAACUCUUUUCAUUUAAGCUUCAAAAAUAAGAAUUAUUCUUUCCGUUUAAUUCCGAAUCUUCUGAAAACCAAGCUCGACCACACACGCGGGUCAUAAUACAUAUUACGAAUCUACUCGGGACCUUAAGUAACUGAACGAGAUGCAAAUUCACAAAACGACAAGUCGGGUCGUUAUAUUCUCCCCCUCUUAAACAAACAUGCGUCCUCGAACGUGCCAAGAAUCUUUUUGAGAAUAUUAAAUUACUGAGUGUAUUAUUACACACAUACUCACGGGUGAUUCUACGUCGCCAUUAAUUUAUCAUGGAUCUGACAAUGCCAUCUCAGUUGACGAUUAUUUAUUUCAUCCAUACUUAUAAACUUUAAAACCAAAUUUCUUACACUCCUAACGUUUUAAAAAGGUCUGAUUUUCAUAUCAACACACGGUAUUAGUCUCAACCGACCAUAGUAACUCAUGCCUACACACGCAUCGUACGUAUGCCCAUAACCAAAUCUCUGAUCACAAUAGAUGUUCAUAAUUAAUUUCAGCAUCGUCAAUUAACCUCAUAUUAACCAAAACCCCGUUUUAAAUUUUUACAACACUGAUAGCAAAAAGUGAGGCAUGAAGACCUCAUAAUUAUUUACCCGACUUAACGAGUCAUAUUUAACGCCAUAUGGGCACUCACCUCAUAGGCUAAAACUCAAUAGUUACAGCACAAAUAUGGCUAAAUAUGCACAGAAUCACGUAAAAAGAAUUAUCAAAUAAGUCUAACAGGCAUGACUCCCUAUUAGUACCAUAGUAUAAUUUAAAUUUCACAAAGGGAGAAUUUAAAACACAUGAAUUUGAUCACAAGGAUCUCAUCCUGGUAUAACUUCCAAUGCGACACGUAGCCCGAGUUAAGCAUAUCAAAUCACAUUAAACGCGAGGACCCCAUCCUCAACUCUGAAUCACAAGUACUUUGCACAUUGUGCCAACUGAAAUUUUCCAUUUCCUUUCUUACUUCUUUUUAAUAAAUUUCGUGAAAUAAUUUCACAACACAUAAUGAACCCCCAUACCGGUAGGGCAUAUAAUUCAUAAAAUUGUAAUAAACUAUCCCAAAAUUAUAUCAAAACCAACUGUAGUGAGUAAUAGAAAGUCACUUUUGGACUCAUAGCCCUCAAUAGUGUACAACACAAAAUGAUAGAUACGGUUAUCGCAAUAAAAUCUCCCAUCAGGGGUAAACCAAUAAGUAGAUUAUAGAAUUACAAAUCUCACCCAUACGUGGAGCAUAAUAGGAGGACUCUUCUCGAUACUUAGAACCGAAUUAAACUAAGGAAAAUAUUCUUUUAUAACAAAUUGGGAUCGUACCAAUAAUGACACCAUCUAGUGUAGAUACCUCGGCCAAACCAUAGCUAUUAUAUCAACAGGCUGGGCCUCCCCCUCUAGGGCGCCCUCUACCUGCCAGUCCUCCACCCCUAACCGAUUGUGCAUUUGGGGGUAGUAAGUGGAAUAGAGCUUGUAGCCUGAGUGUUCUGANNNNNNNNNNNNNNNNNNNNNNNNNNNNNNNNNNNNNNNNNNNNNNNNNNNNNNNNNNNNNNNNNNNNNNNNNNNNNNNNNNNNNNNNNNNNNNNNNNNNNNNNNNNNNNNNNNNNNNNNNNNNNNNNNNNNNNNNNNNNNNNNNNNNNNNNNNNNNNNNNNNNNNNNNNNNNNNNNNNNNNNNNNNNNNNNNNNNNNNNNNNNNNNNNNNNNNNNNNNNNNNNNNNNNNNNNNNNNNNNNNNNNNNNNNNNNNNNNNNNNNNNNNNNNNNNNNNNNNNNNNNNNNNNNNNNNNNNNNNNNNNNNNNNNNNNNNNNNNNNNNNNNNNNNNNNNNNNNNNNNNNNNNNNNNNNNNNNNNNNNNNNNNNNNNNNNNNNNNNNNNNNNNNNNNNNNNNNNNNNNNNNNNNNNNNNNNNNNNNNNNNNNNNNNNNNNNNNNNNNNNNNNNNNNNNNNNNNNNNNNNNNNNNNNNNNNNNNNNNNNNNNNNNNNNNNNNNNNNNNNNNNNNNNNNNNNNNNNNNNNNNNNNNNNNNNNNNNNNNNNNNNNNNNNNNNNNNNNNNNNNNNNNNNNNNNNNNNNNNNNNNNNNNNNNNNNNNNNNNNNNNNNNNNNNNNNNNNNNNNNNNNNNNNNNNNNNNNNNNNNNNNNNNNNNNNNNNNNNNNNNNNNNNNNNNNNNNNNNNNNNNNNNNNNNNNNNNNNNNNNNNNNNNNNNNNNNNNNNNNNNNNNNNNNNNNNNNNNNNNNNNNNNNNNNNNNNNNNNNNNNNNNNNNNNNNNNNNNNNNNNNNNNNNNNNNNNNNNNNNNNNNNNNNNNNNNNNNNNNNNNNNNNNNNNNNNNNNNNNNNNNNNNNNNNNNNNNNNNNNNNNNNNNNNNNNNNNNNNNNNNNNNNNNNNNNNNNNNNNNNNNNNNNNNNNNNNNNNNNNNNNNNNNNNNNNNNNNNNNNNNNNNNNNNNNNNNNNNNNNNNNNNNNNNNNNNNNNNNNNNNNNNNNNNNNNNNNNNNNNNNNNNNNNNNNNNNNNNNNNNNNNNNNNNNNNNNNNNNNNNNNNNNNNNNNNNNNNNNNNNNNNNNNNNNNNNNNNNNNNNNNNNNNNNNNNNNNNNNNNNNNNNNNNNNNNNNNNNNNNNNNNNNNNNNNNNNNNNNNNNNNNNNNNNNNNNNNNNNNNNNNNNNNNNNNNNNNNNNNNNNNNNNNNNNNNNNNNNNNNNNNNNNNNNNNNNNNNNNNNNNNNNNNNNNNNNNNNNNNNNNNNNNNNNNNNNNNNNNNNNNNNNNNNNNNNNNNNNNNNNNNNNNNNNNNNNNNNNNNNNNNNNNNNNNNNNNNNNNNNNNNNNNNNNNNNNNNNNNNNNNNNNNNNNNNNNNNNNNNNNNNNNNNNNNNNNNNNNNNNNNNNNNNNNNNNNNNNNNNNNNNNNNNNNNNNNNNNNNNNNNNNNNNNNNNNNNNNNNNNNNNNNNNNNNNNNNNNNNNNNNNNNNNNNNNNNNNNNNNNNNNNNNNNNNNNNNNNNNNNNNNNNNNNNNNNNNNNNNNNNNNNNNNNNNNNNNNNNNNNNNNNNNNNNNNNNNNNNNNNNNNNNGAACCGAACUGAAUUAAUUUGGUAUUUCGAUUUCGGUUUUUCUGUAUUUCGGUAUAUUUCGGUACAAAAAUUACGGUAUUUCGGUAUUUUGGUACGGUAUACGGUAUUGAGGUUUUGAUAUUUCGGUACACCGAAAUACCAAAAUAUUUAGGUGCAAGGCCAACUAUAUUUUUAUUUUCCAGCCCAAUAACUAGCCUAAGCCCAACACCCCAAGCCCCCUAAUUUCCUAAUCCCUUAGGGCUCAAGCAGACUUACGGGCAGUACCUGCUUACCCUCUUUCCCUUUUCUAUUCCCCAACCUUUUCUAUUUGUCAUAUUCCUGAUUAGGGUAAUUGUGGCUAGCACAAGUAUAUAAAAAGUACUAUUGUUGCUUGAAAAGAGGAUAAUGAGGCCGACAUUGAGACAAAGAAAGAAUGUGACGAAAUAAAUCACAAACUUUAUUAAGUUGAAAAAUUGUGUGUGUAUUUGAUGAUCUUCUUCUCUUAAAGAUUUAAAUCUUUUGUUGAACUUGUCUAUGUACACUUUCAGAAUCAGUUGAUGUUCUUGAUUUUGAGCUUGUGCUUCUUCAGCCAUUACUCUGAAUUUUUGAAGUUAUCGUUGAAUUAGCACACCGAAACCGUUAUCCAGUCCAUUGUCCAAUCUAUUCUGUUAAUGUAUCAAAUUGAAACCGUAUCGAAAUCGUACCGAAAUAAGAUAUACCGAACUGUACCGAACUACUUUGGUACGGUAUUUGGUAUACACAAUUGAUAAACCGAAUACCGAAAUAAAGUUUUUAAAUACCGAACCGAAGUACCGAAUGCCCAUUCCUAAUCAAAACUAACAGCGAAAAUAAUUAUAACAACCUCCCAAGACUGGUAAUACUGAGUCACGAACUCUAACUGAAUACAUGUAAUGAUCUCAAGGAUCAAAUAUACAAUACUGUUCGAGUAAGAGGUGACAACAACAACUCAGUAUAAUCCCACUAGUGAGGUCUGAGAAGGGUAGUGUGUACGCAGACCUUACCCCUACCCUGGGGUAGAGAGGCUAUUUCCGAUAGACCCUCGGCUCCCUCCCUCCAAGAACUCCCCACCUUGCUCUUGAGGUGACUCGAACUCACA